UUACAAGUUCAUCUAAACAAAACGAGGAAGAAGCAUAGUUUUGAGAAAGCACAGUAAUAGCAAUCCUGGACUCUUGAAUUGCCUUGGAAAGUGCAGGUGUUAUGUCGUCUCCGCUGUGAAGCUUGUCUUCGUCAAAGAAGGUAUGAAUUCCCUUGUCACAAAGAGCCUUGUAGAGAUUGCCAGUAAAACCAUAGCGCGUGUCUUCCCCUCUGAAGUUGAGGAACACAUCGUAGAUGGAUGCAAGGGAACGUGUUGUUGCAGCCAUUAUUAGAAGAAAACAGUUUAGUAUGAUAAUGGUUGAUAUGGUGGGAGUGUAGAAUCAAACUUGAACAAAUAUGAAAAAGAUAGCAUACAAAAUGUUUAUUAUUACGCAGAGUAACACCGACAUAGGGUAACAAUGACAUAGUACCAAAGUAGAUAGCCUUGUGGAAAAUAUCUCGCUUUUUUUUCUUUUAAUUAAUUUGAUUUUUUUAAAUUAUAAGCUUCAAAGGUUUUCUUGCAUUAGAAUUGCGUUUGACUCAUUUUUUUAUUUGAAAGAUUGCCUUAAAAUUUAAAUUUAGAAAUAAGAGGUUUAAAUAUAACUAAAAAAUUUAAUAUAUAUUUUUUUAAUUUUCAUUAGCUUAAAACCUAAGCAGCACAUUAACAAAAUUGAACCGGAUUAAGAUAUUCUCCUUCCUUGUGACUAUUAUUUCUUUAUACCCAAAUUCAUAUUUUCAUUGCCAGUCAUUUACAAACUAUAGUUUUCUUCAUGUUAUUAAUUGUUUUUUGACUGUUAUAACGUGUUUCAUUGCACAAAACGCAAAUGGCCCACUACUUAACGAUAUAGACUAAUGCCAAGUCUGAUGCAAUAAGAUAGUACAAAGGGAGUAUAUUUUUCUUAAGUUUAUCUAAACGCAAAUGGUGCUGCUACUAGCAAUCGCUUUUAUGAUGAUUUUGAGCCUUAUUGCCAAUGGCUUACAAAGGAUGGACAAGCCACUCUUGAGAUUAAUUUGAAGGGUAUUAAUUAAAAUUCAUUUUCUCCUUAUAUGUUCUCAUUUGGAUGACAUUAAUCUUAAUAAGAGAACCUAAGAAUUUCUCCAAACUUCACACCUAACAUUAUAGGUCUCAUAUAUAUAUCACCUAACACUUUCUCCAAACUUUACACCUUUAUUUUUAAGGACACAAAACCUAAGAAUAUCAUAAUUAAUCGUCCCAAACUUGAUAAGUAAUAAGACAAAAUAUUGAUGAUAUCAGUUAAAAAUGGAAAGAAAAUCAUAAUAAUAAAUUAAGAUGAAAUUUAUUCUAAUGGUAUACAUAUGGUAAUUUUUUCUUAUCUUAAACUCUUGCAUGUUUUAAAAAGGAGUCACUUAAGAUUCAAACCUACAACUGGGGGAUCCUAACUAUUCACCAAGAAAGGCCUGAGAUGCAUCCAAUAACAAAUGGAGCCGUUUCUGCAGAGAAAUUAAAAUUUUAAAAGGAUGUAAUAUGAAUUCAAUCCGUGCAAAGUUUUCUCAUGGGGUUCUUUUCAUUGCAAUGCCUAAAGAAGCAGUCAUGGAGAAUCAUUUCAUUUGGGAAAAGAAACAAGAAAGAGAGUAUAAGGCAUUAAAGUUGCAGAUGGAGUGGUGUUCAUGGUGGCACUUGAGACUUAUAUUGGUCGACUAGUAAGUAGUGAUAAAGCUUAUUAAGUUUCAUUGCUAUUAAAAAACACAAUUUCUUUCUCAACUUAUUAAGUUUUAUGAUAAAGCUUCAUCCUUAUUAAAUGAUUUCAAUUUUCUUUCUCUUUUUAAAAUUUCCACAAAUAUCAUCAUCAUCAUCACUUUGAUGAUUAUUAUGGUUUGUAAAUCUUUUAUCCACUUAACUUUCAAAAUAAUUUAAAAAUCCAUUUCUUAAGAAUUUGGUUUCUGCAAAAAAUUAGUAAUUUCUUCUCACAUAACACGGCUGUUAAUUAUCUAUUAACAUUUGACGUUUAUCUCAUUUAUUUAAUAUAUGUUCUAGCAUAACCUUCUAACGGUGAUGCUCUUUUGAGAGUUCUUCCGAAUGAUGGUGAAAGGAACUAGUGAAAUGUACCUUCAAAAGUACUUUGACAGCAUAUAAGAAUACAGGUUGAAUUAAUAGUUGGUUUUACUUGACCUUAAAGACCUUUUUUAUAAUAGUUGGAUUGUCAAUUUCAUACUGCUAGUUAAUAUUUUUUAAGUAUGUAUGUAGGUAUUAUCUUGUAUAUGAUUGUGUAUAUCAAUAUUUUUAUCUUUGAAUAAAAAAUAUGUAUUAAAAUGAUUUUUAUUGAAAUUUUCCUUAUUACAUUUUGAUAAAGGUAGAAAUUUUUUACCGCUAAAAACAUAUUAAAAUGUUUUUUUAUUGAAAUUUUCCUUAUUUCCUUUUCAUGAUAUUUAUAAUGAUUCCUACUCAAAAAAAAGAUUGUCAAUCAUGGCCAACAACAGAAAGAACAUAAAGACAAUAAGAGGAUUGAAAAAAGUAUUGAAAGUUUGUUGUAGGUUUGCUGAUAAAGCAAAGAAUAUCUCUUUAGCUGAGAUUACGUAUAAUUGCCGAGAUAAACUUUUUUUUUUCUGCAUUAUAUUGGACAUGCUUUCCAUUUGGGCCUUGUUACGAUCACAUUUAGUGUUCCACCGAAAAUUAACAAAAUGCAAAUAAUCAAAUAUUUAUAAUAAUUAUCAAUAUAAAACAACAUUUGUUCACCAAAGAUACUAAUAAUAGAUAACACAAAAGUUGACAAUUAGAAGUUGUUUUACCAUUCUCAUCUAAACCAUCAAAAUAUAACUAUAACUAAACUUGUUUUCUAUUUCACAUUGGGAAUAAAUAUUAUUUCUUUGCUUGAAUUGAGGCAUGUCUUCACAAUUUCUCCUUCUCCGUUGGUACGUUGACAGUCUUUGAUAAUCAAUGUCAAUAGUUUUUGUAUUUUUUUUACUCAAUUGUUUGUUAACUUUUGUAACCUUUGAAUUUUGUUUGAAGAACCUAACAUGGAAUUUAUGGUAACCCACAUACACAUAGAACUAGACGAUAUAUAUCGCGUGAAGGAGCAAUAUCUACUAAGGUUGUAAAUCAACUUUAUAAUUUUAAUCCUUCUUGAUAUUAUUAUUCAUUGUUAUUUCUAACUAUGUAAAUUUGAAUCACAGUAUUAUCUUGGUCAUCACCAAUAUCAAUCAUAUGCCGAACCCAAUGUAACUCGGGUGCAUAUUCCUGGAUGUAUGUCUCAACAUCAACCAUCACAAGCACAAUAUUAAUUUUAUGUCCCAUAUCUAGAAUAACUUGUUGUAGGACAUCGUUUCAUUAUUAGUUUAACAAAUAUGUAAAUUUUAUUUAAAUAUAAUCAAUUUUUAAUUUAAAGUUUUCAUGUAUUUUUUUUGAUAGAUUAUUUAAACUUUAAAUAAAAAACAUUUAACGUAAAUUAUAUUAAAAAUAUAUAUAACAUGUUUUAAAUAAUAAAACAUUAGAAUAAAAUAAUAACAUAUCAAAUAAAAUCACAAAAAAUAUAUAGGAAUUAAGAUAAAACUUGAAAGGUUAUAUAAAUUGCAUAGCCAUCAGAGAUAUACAUGAUGAAGAUGGGGUGGACACUAGUUUGGUUAAUUCGAUAUCCAAACUGAUUAAUGUUAAACGGUUUGGAUUAGUUUGAGUUUUUUAACAUUUUUUACAUCUCUCAAACCAAAAUAAUAAAAUAAAAAACAAGAAAAAAAAAAAACAAAAAAGCUAUGGAAAACUUGCAUGUCCCCAAACCUAUGGUUUGUAGCAAGGAGGGGUUUUCUGAUGCAGAACUGCCGAGAUAAGGAUCAUCAAAUCGAAUAUCUUCCUCCAUACUGCCUUCUUUAAAUAUAUGGAAUCCAGUUACUUUAAUGAGUGAGCCAUCUAAGUCUAACAAACCUCUUUCUCUUUUUCUUUUUUCAUACGCUAACACACCUGGAUAUCUAACCUCCACAUGGUUCCAUUCUUUUUCCCAAGCCAUUUCUUCAAACCGAUUAUCAUUUUUUAUAGCGAACGCAUGGAGAUCAAAGAUAUAUGUAUGAUCGAUAUCCAAUUUCAACAUACUUUGUAUAUCGUCCCAUAAAUAGUAGUGCCAAAAUUCUUGAAAUUUGCUAUUGAUGAACACCUCGAGUUUAAGGAAAGGAUACCCGGCACCCGACACAGGUGCAAUAAGAAGACAAAGAAGUUUGGCAGGGAAUUUAUUACGAAACCAGAAAGAACUUGAAUGUCCACUGCUUUGCUGAUUGAACCACUCUGGUAUUCUUGUUCCUGGAAACAUAAACUUGGUUCCUCCAGCCUCAUACAGUUCCUGUUAGUCAUAAUUCAUAAAGAAUUCAUAAGCUUAACAACAUUAAGUGCACCAUCAUCAAAUCAUAUACAUUAUAAAAAGACAAUACCUGAUUUAGAAGCAUGCUUUUACUCGAGGAAGUCAAGGAUGCACAGUUUAUUGCCCUGAAAUCUUUUAAGUUUGGUGGAAGCCCUCUAAUUUUCUGAAGAUGCUCGCAAUCACUCACAUCAAGAGUUCUUAAAAAUUUCAGUUCUUUGAAGAAUUCGGGAAGGAUUGUGAAAUUAUUCCCCGAUAGAUCUAAAUAUUCUACAUGAGUAAACCUCUUGGAACCUGUUAAAAAAAAAUCAUCACAUAGAUUGCAAUUCAUGGCACGAAACCAACGUGCCUUUGAAGAUAGUAUUGAGCCCACUUUUUCUUCACCUUCUUCCGAUUCUACCCAUUGCCACCUGUUGCAAUAUUCAAUAUGGAGUUGAAACAAUUCGGGCAUCAUCACUAAUCUGCAUGGUAACUCAACAAUUAAACAGCUCCACAGGUAUAACACUUGAAGUCCAAUAAGAUUUUGAAAUGAAAAUGGCAAUUCUUUUAUGGGAAGGUCUCUCAAAACAAGUUGCUUUAUGUUUUCCAUCUCUCCUAAUAUUUCUGGAAAAUACUCAAGACUGGAACACCCAGAAAGUUGAAGUGUUUCAAGAGAGGUCAAGUUGAGAGGAGGAAAACUUGUAAGCUUCCUGCAACCAUAAGCAUUCAAUUUUUUAAGUUUAUUCAGAAAACCAAUUGAGUCAUCAACUGCAACUAAACUCUCACACCCUUUAAAUGAAAGUUCCCUCAAAUUUGGGAGAUCAGAUACAUCAGGUAUCUGUGUUAAAAAUUUGCAGUUGUCAAACUUCAAAACUGUUAGAUGCCCGAACUUCUGCAAAGGAAAAAAAAAGAAGAAAAGAAAUAAGAAGGAAUGAAUAAAUUUAUAGUGAAUUUAUUAAUUCACUGGAUGAGGAAAAUAUACUGUAUAAACUUGCCUUCGAUGAGCCAUGAAACUCAAAUGACGCCAUGGAACUGUCAGGUAACUUGCAUAUAAGAAGGUUGUUCGGAUGAAAGUUAGAUGGUAAACACUUUGAAGGAUAUCUGUGCCAUUCCAGUACUCUCAAACCUUCUGGAAAAUAAUUGGGACCUUUGGAAAAUUUGCCAUUUCUAAUAAUAAGGAUUUUAAGGUUUUCCAUCUUCAUGAAGGCGUUUUGGUUCCAUUCCACUGUCUGUUCUUUGUCAGAUAUGGAGAAAUCCAGACAUAUGAUUUCAAUCUUACUAGUUCCCUGUUAAUUCAAAAUAGCACGAAUCAACCACAAUACAACUUAUGUGAAAUAUCAAUUGACUGAAACGUUUAGAUAAAUUUACAAAUUAUCAAGAAAAAGUUAACUAUGAUGUAAAUAUGAGAUAGACCAAAAAAAAUUCAACUAUUCAUGAGCUCACUCACCGUGUUGUGUUUUAAAACUUGAAUUAUAUCUUUUGGUAACCAUAAUCUCUUGCACUUCCCUGGCUCUUCAGGUGAUAUCUGCCGCUCAAUUUCUCUACCCACAACCUGAAUUAGGUCAUGCAUAUUUACUGUACCAUGCCUAACCUUUAUGAGAGAUUUGUCAACCAACACAUCAAUAUGAUGUUUCAUGCAGUUAUUGUAAAGACCACGUAGCAUAUGUUCAACCUCUGUCAAUUUGCAUCCUUUGAAGCAACAAGCAAUGUCAAGGAAAACAUUCUUUUGUUCUUCCCCCAAAGCAUCAAAGCUUACUUUUAGAAUUUCUAGGAUUUCAUCAUUGGGAAUUCUUUUAUAAUGUUCCACAGCAGAUUUCCAUUCUGCUACCCUUUUUCCAAACAUGUUGGAACCUAUGACUUCCAAAGCCAAUGGAAGGCCAGAAGCAUAAGUUACUACACGAUUCAAAACGUCCUCAUAACUUGGAUCAAUUUUUUCUCUUUUGAAAGCAUUCCAUGUAAGCAAUUGUAGAGCAGCAUUCUGAUUCAAAACCUCCACCUCAUAUCUUUUUUUAACCCCAUGAGGUGCUAGCAGUUGUUUGUCCCGAGUGGUGAUGAUGAUUAUGCUGCCAGGACCAAACCAAUCACGUCGUCCAGCAAUUGUCUGUAAUUGCUGGGGCUUGUCAACAUCGUCCAGAAUCAAGAGAACCUUCUUCCCCUUAAGCAUAGACUGGAUCUUUGAAAUUCCUUGUUGCUUACUUCUUACUUUGAUGUCCUCUCCAAGUAUUUCUGAAAGAAGAAUGCUUUGGAGGUGUUGUAACCCAUGAUUGUUUGAACUUUCUCUCACGUUUUCAAGAAAACACAAACCAUCAAAAUUCUCAGUAAUUAUUAAAUCAUUAUAGACAGCUCGAGCAAGAGUUGAUUUUCCUAUCCCACCCAUUCCGUGGAUCCCUAUCAUGCAGACACCAUCAUGGUUUCCAACAUCCAAAAGCUUCCUUACUUCUUGUACUUUUGACUCUAGUCCAACAGGCAGAUCCGCAACAUGUAAACUAGCAGGGUUAAUCUUCUCAGAGACCGAUGCAACAAUUCUCCCAAUAAACUUGUAUUCAUAUUCAUCUCUAUCUCAAACAAAAAAGUUUCAAUGAAAUUAAACUAAAAGCCUAGUAUCCAUGCCCUGAUAAGUCCAUACGUGUAUCGACAAGGUUAACACAUAUUUCUUUUCUCUUUAAAUUUGAACAUUAAAUUGUCAGACAAGUAAAACUUAAUCCAAUAAAAAAUAAAAAAUAAAAAGAAAGGUAUGGUUGGGUACCUAUCUUUGAAAUGAAGGCCAGACAAGUUGGCUACUUGACGCAGAGCCCUCUCCCAUUUCUGCAACUUGUCUGGAAAUCUUUUCUUAUGCUUAGCCAAUGCUUCUCCAUAAGUACCUUUCUGGUGUCUGACAUCACAAGGAUAGACCUUAUAAAAGACCGGUAUAACCAUCAUCCCAUUAUACUGGGCGCAGAAAAGGAUGGUUGCAAGUUCAUCCAAGCAAAAUGAGGAAGAAGCAAAGUCUUCAGAGAGCACAGUGAUGGCAAUCCUGGAAUCUUGAAUUGCCUUCAAAAGUGCUGGUGUUAUUUCCUCUCCACUGUGAAGCUUGUCUUCGUCAAAGAAGGUAUGAAUUCCCUUGUCACAAAGAGCCUUGUAGAGAUUGCCAGUAAAACCAUAGCGUGUGUCUUCCCCUCUGAAGCUGAGGAAAACAUCGUAGAUUGAUGCACGAGAACGUGUUGCCGCAGCCAUUAUUAGAAGAAAAAAGUUUAGUAUGGUUAUGGUUGAUAUGGUAGGAGGUAGAAUGAAACUUGAACAAAUAUGAAAAUGAUAGUAUACCAAAUGCUGUGUAUUAUAAAGAAGAUAGCCGCCUUUGUGGAAAAUAUCUUGUUUUUUUUCAUUCUCUGUUAUAAAAAGUCAAGCUCUUAUAAAGAAAGAUGCUCUCACUUUUUUCAUUUUAAAAAAUACUUUUUAUAAUCAAAUUCUUACAAAUAAACUAUAAAAAGUAUUUUUAAUAACUGGUAUUUUAUUUAAAAUAAUUAACUGGUGGUACUACUAAUUCUCCCGCCCCUAAAAGAAUUGUUAGAGAAUCAAAGUAUAUAUUAACUAAUAAGUAAUCUGAUAAUUUUUAAUCACAAAGAGCCUCAAAAUUUGUCUUUUAUUAAAACAGAGUAAAAAUAUAAGUGAGAGACGAAAAUAGAGAAGAGAUAGAAUACGAGAAAAAAGUUAUGCAUACUCGAAGCGUAAUUUUUUUUACAUAACUAAGAAUCCAUUCAAAUUCACUGAGUAUCACUGAAACUAACGCUCUAGAAUCCAUUAAAAUUACUAGGUCAUAUUGUCAGAGUAACUGGAAUUCCGUAUCUCACAAAAUCUUAAAACAACCAGCUAUGUUUUCAUCCAAGACAAACCUUAUCAUGAUAAUGAAUAAGAAGUUUAGAUAGAUCAUAUAGUAGUAUGCUAGCUAAGUCCUAAGAAGUACACUUUCAAAAUUUAACUAAUUUAAGUUUUUCUCCUUUCUGAUCAAAUUAUUUAGCAUAACCAGUAGGAACCUGAUCAUCCUAGCAAUUAGAAGGGAGAAAGUAGAACCUGCAAAAAUAAAAAAGUUAAAGAUAUAAAUUUGUAUUGACUUAAAUAUUUAAAAUGAAUAAAUAAUCAAUUUUCUUCCUAAAAGUAUGAGGCAGUAUGCAGUGUCAAUUUAAUCCCUAAAAGUAAUAAAAUAAAGGAGAAAAAAUCUCCAAUGUCCUUACCGUAUCACUUUAGUUCCUAAACUUAACUUAUUGUCAUUUGGUCCUUAAGAUAUGCUAAUUUUUUUUAUUUUAAUAAGUCACACAACAUUUAGAAUUUUGGAUUAAAAUAAGUGACAACUUGCAUUUCCAAAGAACUUUUUUUUUAUCUAACCUAAAAAAAAUACCUUUUUAUCAUUUUAUUACGUUCAGGAGCUCAAGUGGCCACGUCCCGCAAUUUCAGGAAAAAAAAUGACAUUUACUUAUCUAUUUGACAUGUUCUUAUAUCUAACUAAUAUGAUAUUAAUAAUCUUUUGUAAACUUCGAUAUUUUAACGUGAAUGCUAGUUUAGUUGACUUUUUGCUCUUAAAUUUACAAUUUUAGUUAUUUGAUAAAAAAAACAUUAUUCCAUUAUCAUGCCUCAAGUUAAACUAAGUUAGAAAUAUAUUUAAAACACUAUAUAUUACUAAAAGUUUUAUGUUCUGUUUAUAUGACUGAAAUAUAUUGUCAAUAAAAAUACAAACAUAAAUUAAUUAAUUACUAUUCAUAUUUUUUAUCAAAAUUAAAAUUUUCAAAUGUACUUUUAGAUCACAUAUACUAAUAUUAGUAGUAUAAAAAAAAUUGUAAUAUAUUAUUAAAUAAGUAUACAAAAAAAUUACAAAUAUAUUUUUAUAUUGUUUUAUAGUAGAACUUGUAAGGGAAAAUCUAAAACUAAACAAAAAGCAUAUUAAAUAAUUUUUUUACUUUCUUUUAAUUACAGUGUAUAUAUAAGAUAGAUAUAUUUUUUACUUACUAAAACUAAACACAAUUUUGAUAUCUGUUGGUUUAUGUAGUUUUGAAAUCUGACUAUAAAAAUAUAUAGAAAGUUAAACUUGAAAGGUUGCAUAUAGAAAAGGUUAUAUAUAGAAAAUACAUAUAGUCGUGAAAGAUGAAUAUAAAUGAGUCAAAAGUACAUGAUGAAGAUAGGGCGAACAGCAGUUGGGUUAAGUCAAUUUUUGAUAACUGAAACCAAAAUAAUAAAAUAAAAAACAUGAAAAAAACAAGAAAAAAGCUAUGGAAAACUUGCGUGUCCACAGAACUAUGGUUUGUAGGAAGGAGGGGUUUUCUGAUGCAGAACUUCUGAGAUAAGGAUCAUCAAAUCGAAUAUUUUCCUCCAUACUGCUUUCUUCUUUGAAUAUAUGGAUUCCAGUUGUUUUAAUGACUGAGCUCUCUAAGUCUAACACACCUUCUUUUCUUUUUUCUUUUUCAAACGAUAAUACACUUUGAUAUCUAACCUCCACAUGGUUCCAUUCCUUUCCCCAAGCCACUUCUUCAAACAGAUUAUUAUUUUUGAAACGUAAAUCUUGGAGAUCAAAGAUAUAUGUAUGAUCCAAUUUCAACAUACUUCCUAUCUUCUUACUUCCAUAAUAGAGCGGAAAUUUUAGAAUUUUUCCAUUGAUGAACACCUUUGGAUUAAGGACACCAAUCCCAGUAGACACAGGUGCAAUAAGAAGACAAAGAAGUUUGGCAGGGAAUUUAUUACGAAACCAGAAAGAACUUGAAUGUCCACUGCUUUGCUGAUUGAACCACUCUGGUAUUCUUCUUCCUGGAAACAUAAAACAGGUUCCUCCAGCCUCAUGCAGUUUCUGUUAGUCAUAUAAUUCAUACAGAAUUCAUAAGUUUAACAAUAUUAAGUGCACUAUACAUCAUCAAAUCAUAUACAUUAUAAAAAAGACAAUACCUGAUUUAAAAGCAUGUUUUUACUCGAGGAAGUCAAGGAUGCACAGUUACUUGCAUCGAGAUACUUUAAGUUUGGUGGAAGCCCUCUAAUUUCCUGAAGAUGCUCGCAAUGACUCAUGUCAACACUUAUUAAAAACUGCAAUUCUUUGAAGAAUUCAGGAAGGAUUGUGAAAUUAUUCCCGGAUAGAUUUAAAUAUCUUACAUGAGCAAACCUCUUGAAACCUGCUAAAAAAAAAUCAUCACAUAGAUUGCAAUUCAUGGCAGAAAACGAAUGUGCCUUUGAAGACGGUAUUGGGCCCACUUUUUUUUCACCUUCUUCGGAUUCUACCCAUUGCCACCUGUUGCAAUUAUAAAUAUCGAUUCCAGACAGUUCGGGCAUCAUGGCUAAGCUACAUGGUAACUUAACAAUUCCACAGCUCCCCAGGGUUAACCAUGGGAGUCCAAUAAGAUUUUGAAAUGAAAACGGCAAUUCUUUUAUGUGAAGGCCAUACAAAAAAAGAUGCUUUAUAUUUUCCAUCUCUCCUAAUAUUUCUGGAAAAUACUCAAGACUGGAACAGUGAGAAAGUGCAAGUGUUUCAAGAGAGGUCAAGUUGAGAGGCGGAAAACUCGUAAGCUUCCUGCAACCAUAAGCACUCAAUUUUUUAAGUUUAUUCAGAAAACCAAUUGAGUCAUCAACUGCAACUAAACUCUCACACCAAUUAAAUGAAAGUUCCUUCAAAUUUGGGAGAUCAGAUACAUCAGGUAUCUUUGUUAAAAAUUCGCACUGGUCAAAAUUUAAAACUGUUAGAUGCCCGAGCUUCUGCAAAGACAAAAAAAAAAAGAAAGAAAGAAGAACCAUAUGAAUAAAUUUAAAGUGAAUUUAUGAAUUCACGGGAUAAGGAAAAUAUACUCUUUAAACUUGCCUUGGAUGAGCCAUGGAACUCAAAUGACGUAAUGGAGCUGUCAGGUAACUUGCAUAUAACAAGGUUGAUAGGAUCAAAGUUAGAUGGUAAACAAUUUGAAGGAUAUCUGUGCCAUUCCAGUACUCUUAAACCUUCUGGAAAAUAAUUGGGACCUUUGGAAAAUUUGCAAUUUCUAAUAAUAAGUAUUUUAAGGUUUUUCAUCUUCAUGAAGGCGUUUUCAUUCCAUUCCACUGUUUCUUCUUUGUCAGAUAUGGAGAAAUCCAGACAUAUGAUUUCAAUUUUACUAGUCCCCUGUUAAUGCAAAAAGGCACGAAUCAACCACAAUACAACUUGUAUGAAAUAUCAAUUGACUCACUUAGAGAAAUUUACAAAUUAUCAAGAAAAAGUUAACUAUGAUGUAAAUAUGAGAUAGGCAAAAAAAAUUUCAACUAUUCAUGAGCUCACUCACCGUGUUGUCUUUUAAAACUUGAAUGAUAUCUUUUGGUAACAAUAAUCUCUUGCACUUCCCUGGCUCUUCUGGUGAUCCAACUUGUAUGAAAUAUCAAUUGACUCACUUAGAGAAAUUUACAAAUUAUCAAGAAAAAGUUAACUAUGAUGUAAAUAUGAGAUAGGCAAAAAAAAUUUCAACUAUUCAUGAGCUCACUCACCGUGUUGUCUUUUAAAACUUGAAUGAUAUCUUUUGGUAACAAUAAUCUCUUGCACUUCCCUGGCUCUUCUGGUGAUCUCUGCCGCUCAAUUUCUCUACCCAUGUCCUGGAUCAUGUCGUGCAUUUCAACAGUAUCACAGCAGCUAACCUUUACGAGAGAUUUUUCAACCAACACCCCAAUAUGAUGUUUGGUGCAGUUACCAUAAAGGUCACGGAGUAUAUCAUCAACCUCUGUCCAUUUAUACCCUUUGAAUCAACAAGCAAUGCCAAGAAAAACAUUCUUUUGUUCUUCCCCCAAAGCAUCAAAGCUUACUUUUAGAAUCUCUUGGAUUUCAUCACUGGGAAUUCUUUUAUAAUGUUCCAUAGCAGAUUCCCAUUCAGCUACAGUUUUUUCAAACAAGUUGGAACCUAUAACUUCCAAAGCCAAUGGAAGGCCAGAAGCAUAAGUUACUACACGAUUCAAGACAUCCUCAUAACUUGGAUCAAUUUUUUCUCUUUUAAAAGCAUUCCACGUAAGCAAUUGAAGAGCAGCACUCUGAUUUAAAACCUUCACCUCAUAGGUUCUUUCAACCUCAUGAUAUUUUAGCAGAUGUUUGUCCCGAGUGGUAAUGAUGACUCUGCUACAGGGACCAAACCAAUCAGGUCUUCCAACAAUAGCCUUUAAUUGCUCGCGCUUAUCAACAUCAUCUAAAAUCAAGAGAACCUUCUUUCGUUGGAGCCUAUGUUGUAUCAUUGAAGCUCCUUCUUGCCAACUUGUUAAGGUGAUGUCCUUCUCCCCAAGUAAUUUUGAAAGAAGGAUGCUUUGAAGGUGUUUUAACCCAUGUUUAUUUGAUUCUUCUCUCACAUUUUGAAGAAAACAGGAUUCAUCAAAAUGGAGAGCAAUCAAAUUAUAAACUGCCAGAGCAAGUGUUGUUUUUCCUAACCCGCCCAUUCCAUGGAUCCCUAUGAUGUGGACAACAUCAUGGGAUCCAACAUCCAAAAGCUUCCUUACCUCUAUCACUUGUGACCCUAGACCAACUGGAUAAUCCGCAACAUGUAAAGGAGCACGAUUAAUCUCCCUAGAAACCUGCUCAAAAUACUCUGGAUAAACUUGUAUUCAUAUGCAUCUCUGUUUCAAACAAACAAAAUAAGUUCUGAUGAAGUCAGCCUAAAAGCCUUGCAUCCAUGUCUUGAUAGGUACAUUAAUUGUCAAGGUUAACAAGAGCAUUUCUUUUCUAUUUAAAUUUUACUAGUUAAAUCAAUCGACAAGUAAAACCUAAUCCAAUAAAAACCAUAAAGUAAAAUAUAUUACUAUGAUUGUAUACCCAUCUUUGAAAUGAUAGCCACACAAGUCAGCUACUUGUUUCAAAGCGAUCCUCCAUUUCUGCAGCUUCUCCUUCCUAGCUUUGAACCUCUUCUGAUGCUUAGCCAUUUCUUCUUCAUAACUACCUUUCUGGUGUCUGACAUCAGAAGGAUCUACGUUGUAAAAGACCGGUAUAACCAACAGCCCUUUCCUCUUGCAGUGAAGGAUGGUUACAAGUUCAUCUAAACAAAAUGAGGAAGAAGCAUAGUUUUCAGAAAGCACAGUGAUAGCAAUCCUGGACUCUUGAAUUGCCUUCAAAAGUGCAGGUGUUAUUUCCUCUCCGCUGUGAAGCUUCUUUUCGUCAAAGAAGGUAUGAAUUCCCUUGUCACAAAGAGCCCUGUAUAGAUUGCCAGUGAAACCAUGGCGUGUGUCUUCCCCUCUGAAGUUGAGGAACACAUCGUAGAUGGAUGCACGGGAACAUGUUGUUGCAGCCAUUAUUAGAAGAAAAAAGUUUAGUAUGAUUAUGGUUGAUAUGGUGGGAGUGUAGAAUCAAACUUGAACAAAUAUGAAAAUGAAAGUAUACCAAAUGUUAUAAAAGUCAAGGCAAGCUCUUGUAAAGAAAGAUGCUCUCACUUUUUUCAUUUUAAAACCUACUUUUUAUAAUCAAAUUAUUACAAAUAAACAAUAAAAGUAUUUUUAAUAAUGGGUACUGUAUUUCAAAUAAUUAACUGGUGGUACUACUAAUUCUCCCGCCCCAAAAAGAAUUGUUAAUUAGAGAAUCAAAAUAUAUAUUAACUAAUAAGUAAUCUGAUAAUUUUUAAUCACAAGAGCUUUAAAAUUUGUCUUUUAUAUAUAUAAAUUUCUCAUUGAAAGAGUUUUAUAAUUACCUUGAUAAUUUUGCUGAAAACACCCACACAUAAGAUGUUUUACUUUAAGUCAGAUGUAUUUGUUCGAAAAGUAAUAGAAGUUAAUUUUGUAUAAUAAAAAUAAUGUGAGUAAAUUAUUUUACAAGAAAUUUAUAUCCGUAUUUUUUUAUAAAAAUUAUCCAAAAUCAUCAAUCACUCAUCAUUUUCUUCCCUUCCCAAUGUACUGUUGACAUCCUUAAUAUAUUUUCAAGUAUUUUUCAGUAACUACUGAAUUUUUUGUUUCACAUAACAAACCACACUGAAACUCUGGCAUGAUUAUAUGGAAUUAUUUAUCUCUCAUAGUUGAUUCUAUUUACCACAUUUUGUAGAAACUAGAUCAUUUUUCCUCACACAUUUCUUGUGGUCUUUUGCAAGAAUGAAAAGUUAAAAAGUGUGUUUCAUUGCAGUAAAUUUCUGGUGGUUCGUGUUGAGACUCGUUGGCAAGUGUACCAAAUCGUCACAAGUAGUAAAGUACUCGGAAGUCCGAGUGUCGAAUCCACAGGGACUUUGUUUGUACUUAGAUUAAUGCAAAUCCAACUUAAAAGCAAGAGAUAAGAAUUUAAAAAAAAGAUAGAAGAUAAGGUAAAGAAAAGAUAAAAGAUUUAAAGAUAAAAUUAGGAGAUGAAAGAAUUAAAGAUAAAAUUAAAAGAUAAAGAAAAAGAUAAAAGAUAAAAGAUUUAGAUAAAAUAAUAUUAGGAACUGACUUGCCUUGUCUGCCUAGGAUGUAUGAGUUUAUGAUUUUUUCUUUACCAAUUCAGGUGAUUUUAUCCCACCCACAUCUAUUCAUUUACUUGCCCCUGAUGCCUCACAAUGACAAGUCUAUUUUACCUAUCUAUCCCCCAAAUGCCUUUGCAAAGACUCAAUAGAUAAAAUGCAUGAAGUUCUAAUUCUAGAUGUUUGCUUUGACGCAUGGGCAUAAUGCAAUCACUCUAUGCCUAGCAAUGAUUUUAUUAUGAUAUCUUUUCUUCUUGUUCUAUUAGAAGUUAUCCUCUCCCGAGCGUCUAACCCCUAAAACUAAUGCAUGCAUAUCUUCUUUAAAUCUUAUUUAGAAGUUACCCUCUCCCCUGAGCAUCUAACCCCUAACAGAAUAUAAAGAUGAGUAUGCAAGAUAAAAAUAUAAAAGAAAAUAGGAAAGAAAAACCUAGUAUUGCAUUGAUAAAUAGUGAAGAGUACAUCAUACAUCACUUUGGCUUCUAGGCCUGCCAGGCCCUAACUAAGGGUUUAGCCACUCAUGGCCGAGGGCUUUACAAGUAGAAGAGGGGGGAAAGAAAAGGAGUAAAUGAAACCCCUAGGAGAGGGGGUUCUGUCGUGGUGUGUUCUAUCCCUUGGACUGGCUCUCUAUUUAUAGCUGCUGAAGUGGGCUUUGGGCCUUCGUAGGCGCGCUCAGCGCGACACCCCCACGCUCAGCGCGUGUAGAUCGCGCGCUUAGCGCGCAUGUUUCAGGCUUAGCGCACGCUUCUGUUAGAUCGCGGGCUUAGCACGCGUGUUGCAGGCUUAGCGCGCGCUUCUGUUGGAUCAUGGGCUUAGCGCGUAACGCGCGCUCAGCGCACGUAUUGGACUGGGCCUGCUUCAGAUUUUCUUCUUUUCUUCAAUUUUUCUAGCCUUUUUGCUUGUUAUACCUUCAGUUUUUAUAUCUGCAGCCAAAAUUCAACAAAACAUCAAUUCUUUAAUAUUUAAGCGCAAAUAACUGCUAAAUAAUUAUUUUUAAAGACAAUUUUGCCUUAUUUUCUAUCAUCAAAAUACAAUUAUUUAGCAGUUAUCAGUUCGUGCUUAUAUAUCUGUUUUAUUCCCCUGUAAGAGUGCUGAUUUUCUUUUAAUUCUGUUGGCUGAUCAAUGCUCAUGUAUAUGUUUCUAAACUUGAAAGUAACGUGAUAUCCAUUCUUCACCUUAAAUUUGUAAGAGAAUAAUUUUCGUUGAUGUAUAUUUCUUUUGCCAGCUCUCCGUCAUUUUCGUUGAUGUAUAUUUCUUUUGCCAGCUUUUGAUAUAAAUUUUGUCAUAAUUGAACAAGAUUGAAUCAUUUAGAUAGAUAGAUAAUAGCAACAUAUUAUUUAGUAUCGUUCAUUUUCUUAAAAGAAAACUUGUGUAUACUUGUGAAAUGAAACAACGAAAUAAUAGUUGGUUCACUUUGAUUGUUUAAAAAAAAAAAAACUACAUGAAAUGAAUUACAUUAUGAGAAAGAACACAUACCUAAAAAAAGAGUAAAGUGAAAUUAAGUAGCUCAUUCAUGCCAUUAAGUAAAUUAUAAUAAUUUUUCUUAACUUAAGAACAAAUGCUACAAAUAAAUGUUGAGUUUAGAGACGAAACCAAUACCAAGUUGAAUAUGUUGGGGAGGAUUCUGCUGAACUCUCUCUUGACGUGAUUAAUGAAGUUUUUCUCUAUUUAUCAUUAUCCUAAUGUUCUUUGCACCGUCAAAUUUACUUUAACUGUGAUCUCUCACAUAAAAGAGCCUAAUCCUCCUAAUUUCAUUCUUGAUUCCUCAAUGAAUUCCGUCUAAGUGGGCCACAUUACAAAUUAGAUGCAAAUUAUACUAGAUUAGUUCACACUAUUCUUAGAAAUGAAGACUUCUAGAUGUUCUACCAAGUUCUAAGGACUAAAAGAAUUUCCCAACACUUCAAUCCUAACAAAGCAUAUAAAUGGAUAAUCAAGCCACAAAUAUUAAAGACAACCACAGAUAGAAGUAGAUAACACUAGCAAAUAAUAUUAAAUAGAUAGUUAGAGUUUUUGCAUCAAGAGUGUUGAGUGAAAAACUCUCCAACAAUGAAGUGUUUAGCCCUUCAUUAGCAUGGAGAGCUCAGUACAAGGCUAAAAAUAAGGUAGAAAUGGAAUGGUGAAGUAAAGAUAUGGAGAAAGCCGCUUGCUUUUCUUCCUUCAGCCUUGGUGCUCUGUUUUCGUCUCACCCACGCUGCAUGUGUUGUUUGGCUUCCCCCUCUCUUCCAGCUUUAAAGGCUUUUGGGCUUCUCAAAUUAUGAAUGUGCGUUUAGCGAGCAUGUCUCGCUGAGUGAGAGUUCGUGACUGGGUGCUUAGCGGAUGUGGAUGCGCUAAGCACGAGAAACGACAAAGGCAGUUACUGGGCAAGCUGGCUGCAGCUAAGCACAAUGCUCUUUGAAUUUACAUUCUCUAAGAGUUUUCUCUCACUGGGUGAGUUGGCUUCCUCGCUAAACAGAUUAGGCUCGCUUAGCUAAUCGCUAAACAAGCUCUUCAGCAUGCACUUCCAAAUCUUGCUUCCUUAAACCUGAAAAUCCAAAUGAUAAUAAUAUCAAUCAUCAAAAUGAAGCCUCCACCGUAUAAAACUCACACAAAAUCAAUUAUAUACAAAUCUCACGCAAGAAACCAUAAUACUAAUUAGAGUUACAUUGCCACUUUUCAUCUACUUUUCAAUACAUUUGGUACUCUUGAAUAACAAUUAUCAAUUUAUUUCUUUGGCUACUUCCUAUCCUUAUUUAUGCCACGUUUUUAAUUUCCAUUCAUAAAUUUAAAAACAACAAGCUAUCAGCCAUCCUAAGACAAUCCUUAUGCAGAAAAUGAAGAAGACAUUAUCUAGCUUAAAGAUAUUUGAUCCAAUAAAUUACACUAGUUAUUCUUGAGAUUUUGUGAAAUUUCACAAACUUUUCAUACUUUUUUUACCCCUACACUAACCCCUUAAUUAUUUCGAAAACAUUAUUCCGAUACCUUUUAUACAUUAUACUAAUCCACCUUAAUUGUUUGAAGAACAUUACACUGUGUUCGCUUAUAAAGAAAGUAGUUGUAAAUGUUAAAAAAACAAGAAAGACUUGUGCAAUUUCACGAAAUCUCAAAAAAUAUAUAUUGGUGUAAUUUAUUAUAUAUACUUGAUUUAAUUAAUUUAGAGAGGCAUAUAGAAGUAGAAGUAAACAGAAAUCUAUUUAUAUGCCCAACUCAAACUCAAUAAGAAUCCUAGGUAGGCAUUCUGCUUACAAGUAUGCAAAAUUUAACUUUCUCAACUGCUAUGAACAGUUGAUAUAGAUCAUAUAGGAGUAUGCCAGCUAAAUCCUAAGAAGUACACUUUCAAAAUUUAACUAAUUGAAGUUUUUCUGGUUCCUGAUCAAAUUAUUUAGCAUAACCAGCAGGAACCUGAUCAUCAUAGCAAUUAGAAGGGUAAAAGUUGAACCUGCAAAAGCAAAAAAGUGAAAGAUCUAAAUUUGUAUUGACUGAAAUAUUUAAAAUGGGUAAAUAACCAAUUUCCUAUAUGAAAGUGUAAAACAAUGUUAAUUUAAUUCCUAAAAGUAAUAAAAUGAAGGAAAGAAGAAAUCUCCUUACCGUAUCACUUUAGUUCCUAAACUUAAUACUUAUUGUCAUUUAAUCCAUGAAGCUAUGCUUAUAUUUUUAAGUCACACAACAUUUAGAAUUUUUGGACUAAAAUUGAAAUAUAUUAUUAAAUAAAUAUACAAAUAUAUUAUUAUAUUGUUUUAUAGUAGAACUUGUAAGGGAAAAUCUAAAACUAAACAAAAAGUAUAUUAAACAAUUUUUUUUUACUUUCUUUUAAUUACAAUGUAUAUAUAAGAUAUCUGUUGGUUUAUGUAAUUUUGAAAUCUAACUAUAAAAAUAUACAGCAAGAUAAAACUUGAAAGGUUAUAUAUAGAAAAUGCAUAAAGUCGUGAAAGAUGAAUAUAAAUGAGUCAAAAGUACAUGACGAAGAUAGGGUAAACACCGGUCAGUUGGGUUAAGUGAAUUUUUGACAACUGAAACCAAAAUAAUAAAAUAAAAAACAUGAAAAAAAUAAGAAAAAAGCUAUGGAAUUGCGUUUCCCAAAGGCUAUGGUUUGUAGCAACGAUGGGCUUUCUGAUGCAGAACUGCUGAGAUAAGGAUCAUCAAAUCGAAUAUCUUCCUCCAUACUGCUUUCUUUGAAUAUAUGGAUUCCACUUGCCUUAAUGAUUGAGCUCUCUAAGUCUAAGACACCUUCUUCUCUCUUUUCUUUUUCAUAGGCUAACACACUUUGAUAUCUAACCUCCACAUGGUUCCAUUCCUUUUCCCUAGCCAUUUCUUCAAACCGAUUAUUAUUUAUGAAAGCAGACGCUUGGAGAUCAAAGAUAUAUGUAUGAUCCAAGUUCAACCUACUUUUUAUCUCGUGUCUUCCAAAAUAGGGCCGAAUUUCUUGAAAUUUGCCAUUGAUGAACACCUUUGGAUUAAGGACAACAAUCCCAGUAGACACAGGUGCAAUAAGAAGACAAAGAAGUUUGGCAGGGAAUUUAUUACGAAACCAGAAAGAACUUGAAGGUCCACUGCUUUGCUGAUCGAACCACUCUGGUAUACUUGUUCCUGUAAACAUAAAAUUGGUUCCUCCAGCCUCAUGCAGUUUCUGUUAGUCAUCAUUCAUAAAGAAAUCAUAAGUUUAACAACAUUAGGUGCACUAUGCAUCAUCAAAUCCUGUACAGUAACAAAAAAGACAAUACCUGAUUUAAAAGCAUGUUUUUACUCGAGGAAGUCAAGGAUGCACAGUUUCUUGCAUCGAAAUACUCUAAGUUUGGUGGAAGACCUCUAAUUUCCUGAAGAUGCUCGCAAUCACUCACCAUAAGUGAUCUUAAUAAUUGCAAUUCUUUGAAGAAUUCAGGAAGGAUUGUGAAAUUAUUCCCCGACAGAUUUAAAUGUCCUACACGAGCAAAGGUCUUGAAACCUGUUAAAAAAAAAUCAUCACAUAGAUUGCAAUCCUUGGCCGAAAACCGAUGUGCCUUUGAAGAUGGUAUUGAGCCCACUUUUUUUUCACCUUCUUCCGAUUCUACCCAUUGCCACCUGUUGCAAUAUUCCAUAUGGAAUUCAAACAGUUCGGGCAUCAUCGCUAAGCUACAUGGUAACUUAACAAUUCCACAGCUCCUCAGGGUUAACCAACGGAGUCCAAUAAGAUUUUGAAAUGAAAAUGACAAUUCUUUUAUGGGAAGGCCAUACAAAAAAAGAUGCUUUAUGUUUUCCAUCUCUCCUAUUAUUUCUGGAAAAUAUUCAAGACUGGAACAUUGAGAAAGUUCAAGUGUUUGAAGAGAGGUCAAGUUGAGAGGCGGAAAACUCUUAAGCUUGCUGCAACCAUACGCACUCAAUUUUUUAAGUUUAUUCAGAAAACCAAUUGAGUCAUCAACUGCAACUAAACUCUCACACUCUUCAAAUGAAAGUUCCCUCAAAUUUGGGAGAUCAGAUACAUCAGGUAUCUGUGUUAAAAAUUUGCAGUUGUCAAACUUCAAAACUGUUAGAUGCCCGAACUUCUGCAAAGGAAAAAAAAAAAUAAAAUAAAUAAGAACCAAAUGAAUAAAUUUAAAGUGACUUUAUUAAUUCACGGGAUUCAGGAAACAGUCUCUUUGCAUAUGCAAGGGUAAGGCUGCGUACAACAUCUCUCCCCCAUACCUUCGCAUAGCGAAGAGCCUGUGGGCUACGAAGUUUAUUAAUUCACGGGAUGAGGAAAAUAUACUCUUUAAACUUGCCUUCGAUGGGCCAUGGAACUCAAACGACGUCAUACAACUGUCAGGUAACUUGCAUAUAACAAGAUUGUUCGGAUGAAAGUUAGAUGGUAAACAAUUUGAAGGAUAUCUGUGCCAUUCCAGUACUCUCAAACCUUCUGGAAAAUAAUUGGGACCUUUGGAAAAUUUGUCAUUUCUAAUAAUAAGUAUUUUAAGGUUUUCCAUCUUCAUGAAGGCGUUUUCAUUCCAUUCCACUGUUUCUUCUUUGUCAGAUAUGGAGGAAUCCAGGCAUAUGAUUUCAAUUUUACUAGUUCCCUGUUAAUACAAAAAGGCACGAAUCAACCACAAUACAACUUGUGUGAAAUAUCAAUUGACUCGCUUAGAGAAAUUACAAAUUAUCAAGAAAAAGAUAACUACAAUGUAACUUUGAGAUAGAAAAAAAAACAAAAAUCAACUAUUCAUGAGUUCACUCACGGUGUUGUCUUUAAAAACUUGAAUUAUAUCUUUUGGUAACCAUAAUCUCUUGCACUUCCCUGGCUCUUGUGGUGAUCUCUUCCGCUCAAUUUCUCUAGCCAUGUCCUGAAUCAAGUCGUGCAUUUCAACAGUAUCAGUACCAUAACAGUUAAGCUUUAUGAGAGAUUUUUCAACCAACACCCCAAUAUGAUGCUUCUUGCAGUUACCAUAAAGAGCACGGAGUAUAUCAUCAACCUCUGUCCAUUUAUACCCUCUGAAGCAACAAGCAAUGUCAAGAAAAACAUUCUUUUGUUCUUCCCCCAAAGCAUCAAAGCUUACUUUCAGAAUCUCUAGGAUUUCAUCACUGGGAAUUCUUUUAUAAUGUUCCAUAGCAGAUUCCCAUUCUGCUACAGUCUUUCCAAACAAGUUGGAACCUAUGACUUCCAAAGCCAAUGGAAGGCCAGAAGCAUAAGUUACUACACGAUUCAAGACGUCCUCAUAACUUGGAUCAAUUUUUUCUCUUUUAAAAGCAUUCCACUUAAGCAAUUGAAGAGCAGCACUCUGAUUUAAAACCUUCACCUCAUAGGUUCUUUCAACCUCAUGAUAUUUUAGCAGAUGUUUGUCCCGAGUGGUAAUGAUGACUCUGCUACCGGGACCAAACCAAUCAGGUCUUCCAACAAUAGCCUUUAAUUGCUCGCGCUUAUCAACAUCGUCUAAAAUCAAGAGAACCUUCUUUCGUUGGAGCCUAUGUUGUAUCAUUGAAGCUCCUUCUUGCCAACUUGUUAAGGUGAUGUCCUUCUCCCCAAGUAAUUUUGAAAGAAGGAUGCUUUGAAGGUGUUUUAACCCAUGUUUAUUUGAUUCUUCUCUCACAUUUUGAAGAAAACAGGAUUCAUCAAAAUGGAGAGCAAUCAAAUUAUAAACUGCCAGAGCAAGUGUUGUUUUUCCUAACCCGCCCAUUCCAUGGAUCCCUAUAAUGUGGACAACAUCAUGGGAUCCAACAUCCAAAAGCUUCCUUACCUCUAUCACUUGUGACCCUAGACCAACUGGAUAAUCCGCAACAUGUAAAGGAGCACGAUUAAUCUCCCUAGAAACCUGCUCAACAAUACUCUGGAUAAACUUGUAUUCAUAUGCAUCUCUGUUUCAAACAAACAAAAAAAGUUCUGAUGAAGUCAGCCAAAAAGGCUUGCAUCCAUGUAUAUUAAUUGUCAAGGUUAACAAGAGAAUUUCUUUUCUAUUUAAAUUUUACUAGUUAAAUCAAUAGACAAGUAAAACCUAAUCCAAUAAAAAUUAUAAAGUAAAAUAUAUUAGUAUGAUUGUAUACCCAUCUUUGAAAUGAUAUCCACACAAGUCAGCUACUUGUUUCAAAGCGAUCCUCCAUUUCUGCAGCUUCUCCUUCUUAGCUUUGAACCUCUUCUGAUGCUUAGCCAUUUCUACUCCAUAACUACCUUUCUGGUGUCUGACAUCAGAAGGAUCUACGUUGUAAAAGACCGGUAUAACCAACAGCCCUUCACUCUUGCAGUGAAGGAUGGUUACAAGUUCAUCUAAACAAAAUGAGGAAGAAGCAUAGUUUUUAGAAAGCACAGUAAUAGCAAUCCUGGACUCUUGAAUUGCCUUCAAAAGUGCAGGUGUUAUUUCCUCUCCUCUGUGAAGCUUCUUUUCGUCAAAGAAGGUAUGAAUUCCCUUGUCACAAAGAGCCCUGUACAGAUUGCCAGUGAAACCAUAGCGUGUGUCUCCCCCUCUGAAGUUUAGGAACACAUCGUAGAUGGAUGCACGGGAACGUGUUGUUGCAGCCAUUAUUUGAUGAAAAAAGUUUAGUAUGAUAAUGGUUGAUAUGGAGGGAGUGUAGAAUCAAACUUGAACAAACAUGAAAAUGAAAGUAUACCAAAUGUUAUAAAAGUCAAGCCAAGCUCUUAUAAAGAAAGAUGCUCUCACUUUUUUUUCAUUUUAAAACCUACUUUUUAUAAUCAAAUUAUUACAAAUAAACAAUAAAAGUAUUUUUAAUAAUGGGUACUGUAUUUCAAAUAAUUAACUGGUGGUACUACUAAUUCUCCCGCCCCAAAAGGAAUUGUUAAUUAGAGAAUCAAAAUAUAUAUUAACUAAUAAGUAAUCUGAUAAUUUUUAAUCACAAGAGCUUCAAAAUUUAUAUAUAUAUAUAUAUAUAUAUAUAUAUAUAAAUUUCUCAUUGAAAGAGUUUUAUAAUUAUCUUGAUAAUUUUGCUGAAGACACCCACGCAUAAGAUGUUUUACUUUAAGUCAGAUGUAUUUCUUCGAAAAGUAAUAGAAGUUAAUUUUGUAUAAUAAAAAUCAUGUGAAAAUAUGAAAAAUGUUAACCAAUAAUUUAGGACAUUAAUUGAUUAAAAAAUAAAAAAAAUGAAAAAUAUCAAAUACGAUAUACUUUUUUUUGUAAUUUUCAAUGAAACUUAUUAUUUUCGUAACGCAAUUUUAAUUUUGGUGGGUCAAAUUAGAUUUUACAUAUUUUAUUUUUAUCUUUACUUCCCAAUUUAUAAUAAAUUUUUAAUCAAAUUUAAAGAUUAAUACACUGAAUAAGUGGUUUGCCAAACUGCUUGUUUUUUUUUUUUUAGCAAGAAGGCAUUCCUGAUACUCUUCUUGAUGCAUAUUAAUAGUAUUCUUUACGUCAUCAAAAAUAAAAUAUACUGAAUAAUAUUUUUCAAUUUAUCUUUCAUUGUAUUCAAACUUCUUUCUCAUUAUAGCCGACUUUUCUACGCAUGAAUAUUGCCAUCCUAAAAAAGGAAUAAUAUUCAUAUUCGUUUUAAUUUUAAAUUAAACAGCCGCGUUUCAUUUGCUUCUCUGACUAAAAGGCAGAAAAACAAACGUGUAGACCUUAAAAUAUUGAUGACUUAUAAAAUAUUUAAAAAAUAAAAAAAGGCUGAGAUAACAUUUAUGAGAAAAUAAAAAUGUGUUAAAAACUCAAUUUAGGUGGCUGAACAUGUAUGAAAAAUAUAUAUUGAGAGAAUUAAUAUUUAUAAAAGUCUAAAUAAAACUUGUGAAUUUAUUUAAAAAUAGAUUUUAUGUCAUUAAGUUGUUGGUACAAAAUAAUUUUAGUUACCUUUGUCAAAAAAUUUAGUUAAUCAUUUUUAAUAAGAACUGACAUUUUAAUUAUAUUUUUUUAUCUAUAAAUUAAAAUUUGAAAUUGAGAUUUUAUUUAAGGAGUUCUAGUCAACUUUUGCUUGAACAAAUCACAUUAUUUGAUGAAAAUAAUUUAAUUAUUAAAGGUGGAAAGAAACAAAAAAUAUAAAAAUAAAAUUAUUAUAAAAUAUUUAAAAGUAAAUAAAUAAUGUCUAUUAACAUAAUCUAUUGAAAAGAAGAUACAAUUAGUAAAAAAAAAAAAAAAAAAAGAGCCAAAUAGGGAUGGCAAGGUCUUCUCCAUAUUAGAAAAUCAAUCUGGGAUAAGACAGAGUAUAUUACCUUUUUUAUCUUCUAUAUGUGCUAACAAAACAUCAACAGCAAAAAUAUAGAAUAGCUUAUAAUGAUUUAUAUCCUCUAAACGUCUCUUUAUUUAACUUGUCCAUCAGUAGAAUCAUCAUUUUCAAUUAUUGACACACACACACGGCUUACAAAUCAGAAUAAGGUACAACAUCCAUUCCGCUGAAUAAACAUAGAAUUAAUACAAAUUAACCUAUAUACAAAUAGAUUGCGACAUAUAUACUCGCUUAUAUUUUUAAAAAAUAACAUGCAAAGCUCUCAUAGCCUCUUAACUGGUGCCAUACUUAGCCUUGUAGUCUUGCCAAAGCUGAUAAACUGCUUUUCCCAGUAACUGAACAAAGAGUUGAUCACUGUAACCAUCCCUCAUCUGCUAAUAGUCAAGAAAAUGAGCAGUAACAUCAUAACCCUGGUCCCAUUUCACUGAACUAAAGAUUUAUACCAAUGAAUCACACAAGGAAAUUUAACACUACAUUUUAAUUCAAAACUUCAAAGAUUAGGUUUAUGAAUCUUUUACUCAUUUUAUAUGUUUUUUUUCUCACUUCUAUGAGAUUUGGAAUUGCACCUCAUACUUACUCCAAUACAACAGAAGGUGAGAAGUAAGCCAUUUGGCGCCAGAAUAGACUAGCUAGACAACUUCCAUUUGAUUGGUUUUGGUAAAUAGUCAAAAUCAAAAAUAGAUAUGAUCAGCCUGCAUUUUAUUCUGGUUGACUAUUUGAACUUAGGCCAACGGACAAUGUUGUUUCAAUCUAGCUACUCUCGUGAAUGGGAUAAAAAUCAAGUGAAGUUAUUUCGGGGCUACAUAUUAUAUAUUUAUAUAUAUAUCAUACCACAUAUCUCUAGACGCCCAUCUUGCCGCGUCUAGUGUCAAUCUUCCAUGACCAUGUCCACUUUCUCCCUCGAAAGCACGGAACUGAGAAAUUAAGAUAAUAUGAUACAUUAAGGGAUGUUUGGUAGAAGAGAAAUACUUUCAUAAAUUUUGGGACUCAUAUUUUGUAGAAAUGAAUAAAAUUUAUUUGGAUGAUUUUUAAAAUAUUAUAUAAUUUUUUUAGAAAUCAAAGAAUUAUAUAUAUUUUUAUCGAUUAUUUUAAUUAUUUAUCACAUUAUAUAAUUUAAUAUAACAUAACAAGAUAUUUUUAUCAUAAUAAAAAAAUUAAACUUGAAGAAAAAGUAAAAUUCUCACUUUUUGUUAUUGGAGAAUUUUCGUGAGAAACUAAUUAAAAAAUAUUUUUAGAAAACAUUAUUUAGGAAUGCAAUUUUUUAAAAAAUGUAUACUAAAAUGAGAAAUUAAGUUUUUCAUCUUAUGAUUAUCAGAAAAUUAAAAAUUUAUCUUCUACCAAAUACUAAAAAAAAAUGAUCCGUACUUAUUACUACUUACAAACAUUUUUACUUAUGGAACCGCGGACAUGAUUAUUUUAGGUAAAACUGGAAAAAAAAAACUUCCACCAACAAUUAUUUGAUAUAGUUAGGUAAACUCUUGACAAACCCUUUCAUGUAAAUGGCGUUACCUUUGCUCUUAAACACAAUUGUCUUGUUUCUUUGGAAAUAUUUCUACUAUGCUCUUUUAGACCAUGGGGAAAAUACUGACUUUGUAUGCUUAAUUGUUUGGAAAAUUUUAGGUGUUAAUGCUAUAAAAUGACAACUAGUUGGGUGCAGUAGGAAUUGAUGGAAAUUCUGUUCUUAGUUAAAGAAAAGUAGCACUUGAGUAGUGACAUUCUUUAAAAAUAAAAAUAUGUAGACAAUUGUUUGUGUUCUGAAAUCAACAGAGUUUUUGAUAAAUAGUAACAGUUUUUAUAUUAAUCCAGCAGGAGCACGACCAUCCCCAUUCCACUGCCAAACGUGCACCAUUUCAUGGUACAGCACACUUGUUAUCUCUGUUUUCACGUCCCCUUUUAUUGUUUCCAUGCAUGUCAUCAACGAAUAAGCUUACCUUCUGCACAUUUUUUCUGUCAGAAGGGUUGCUUUGCUGAAAGAUCCUCCAUAUGAAUUGGGUGGCGGAGUCAAGUGUUGGCUUGGCGUAUUCAGCUCCUAUUAAAAGAGGCAAAGGGUGGGGUCAAUCUUAUUAGGCUCAGGUUUAAAUUUAAUAGAAUUAUUAUGAAUAAUAAUUUUUUUAAAGUAUUUAAUGUAAUUAUAUUUAGAAUUAGAAUAUAAAACAUCAUAAGCUGGAACAAUUAUAAAAUAAAUUUUUAGUACCUAGAAGUUUAUUACUCGAAUUUUUAAAUUUUAGAAUGUAAAAGUUAAAAUUUUAACCUUGUUUUUAUCAUAAAUAAUACCAGAAUAAGAUUAAAAAACAAGAUUAAAAAGUAAAAUGAAAUAAAUAAUGCAAAUUUAAUUUUUUUUAGCAUAGGUGGAGCGGUAAAGUUGUGCCUUGGUGACUUGUUGGUCAUGGGUUCGAGUUUGCAUAUGUAAGGGUAAGGCUGCGUACAACAUCCCUCCCUCAUACCUUCGCAUAGCGAAGAGCCUCUCGGCAAUAAGAUACGAAGUUUUUUUAUAACGAAUUGCUAAGAAUGCAAAACGUGAUUUUUGGAUGCAUGAACUGGAUUCGAAGGUGACUCUUUAGUGUAAAGUUUUGGGCUAUCUAAUACAUAAAUUAUAAUAAAAAAUAAUAACACUCGAUUAUAUGUUAUCUGAAGAAGUUUAUUUACUAUUUUUUAAAUUUAUUUUUUAGCUUCAAUUUAAUCUUCUUAUUUUUAAAAAGUGUGAUUUAGUUUUUUAAUUUAGUGUAUUUAUUUUUAAAGGUUUCAAUUAAUUACUUUAUUUUUUAAAAAAUAGAUUCACUUCUGAUUCCAUUUAAAAUCAAGAUUGGUUUCAUUUUUUGGAAAUGUUGGAAGGUGGCGGAAAGAAAAAGCAACCAAAUUAAACGUGUUUUUAAAAAAUAAAGGACAUGAUUAAACUUUUAUAAAAAAAAAAAAUAGAGGAAUCAAAUUAAAUUUAAAUAAAACUCUCCAUUCCACUAUUGGAACUUGUAAUAGCAGGCCAUUAAGAGCUGAUACAAUAUUGACAUUGAAAGACAUUGCCAUAUAUAAAAUCGCGUAUUCUUUAAACUAAAAGCUAUUAUUUAGCAUCUUAGGCUAUAUUGCCAUACAUGGCCUUAUAGUCUCGCCAGAGAUGAUUAACUGGUUUUGCCAGUAACAGAAAGAAGAACUCAUCGCUAUAAUCAGUCCUCAUCCACUGGUUAAGUUGACCCACAAACCCACUUUUGAGAGAAUCACAAUAAUCCAAAAAAUGAGCAGUAAUUUCAUAACCCUCAUUCCAUUUCUGUCCUUGCCCUGGUUUUCUCCAAUGACUGGCUGCAUAGUUUGCCUUCAGCCUCACAAAAUCUGCAAUACCUCCAGUUAAUCCACCAGGAGCCUUGCCAUUCCCCUUCCACUGCCAAACGUAGCAAACUUGAUGAAACAGCACCCCUGUGAUCUCUCUUUUCACAUCCCCACCACUAUACCCAUUAACAUAUCUUGCACUCACGUGAAUCUCGUUCUUCCUAGUGUAUGCAAUCCCGUCCAUGUCAUCCACGAAUAAGCUCACCUUCUGCACGCUUUUUCUGUCAGAAGGGUUGUUUUGCUGAAAGAUCUCCCAUAUGAAUUGGGUGGCCGAGUCAAGUGUUUGGUUUGCGUAUUCAGCUCCUAUUUUGUCACGGAAUCUCACACCACCGAGGGUUGUCAGUGCAUUGUUUAUUACUGUGAACGUAUAUCCCUGUCUUUCCCGUAUUGUAACAUCAAAGCUUAGUUUUGGACUCUCUAGGAUUUCAUCCCUGGGAAUUGUUUUGUAAUGUUCCACAGCAUAUUCCCAUUCUGCUACUGUUUUACCAAACAAGUUGGAACCUAUGGCUUCCAAAGCCCGUGGAAGGCCUGAAGCAUAAGCUACCACACGAUUCAAGACGUCCUCAUAACAUGGAUCAAUUUUUUCACUUUUGAAAGCAUUCCACGUAAGCAAUUGAAGAGCAGCAUUCUGAUUCAAAACCUUCACCUCAUAAGUUCUUUCAACGCCAUGAUAUUUUAGCAGAUGUUUGUCCCGAGUGGUAAUGAUGACUCUGCUACCGGGACCAAAGCAAUUAGGGCUUCCAACAAUAGCCUUUAAUUGCUCUUGCUCGUCAGCGUCGUCUAAAAUCAAGAGAACCUUCUUUUGUCGGAGCCUACGUUGUAUCAUUGAAGCUCCAUCUUGCCAACUUGUUAAGGUGAUGUCCUUCUCACCAAGUAAUUUUAAAAGAAGGAUGCUUUGGAGGUGUUUUAACCCAUGUUUAUUUGAUUCUUCUCUCACGUUUUGAAGAAAACAUGAUUCGUCAAAAUGGAGAGCAAUCAAAUUAUAAACAGCUAGAGCAAGGGUUGUUUUUCCUAACCCACGCAUCCCAUGUAUCCCUAUGAUGUGGACAACAUCAUCGGAUCCUACAUCCAAAAGCUUCCUUACCUCUAUCACUUGUGACUCUAAAUCAACUGGAUAAUCCGCAACAUGUAAAGAAGCAUGAUUGAUCUUCCUAGAGACCUCCUCCACAAUAUUCCCAAUAAACUUGUAUUCAUAUGAAUCUCUGUUUCAAACAAACAAAAAAAGUUCUAAUGAAGUCAACCCAAAAGCCUUGCAUCCAUGUCUUGGUAGGUAUAUUAAUUGUCAAGGUUAACAAGAGCAUUUCUUUUCUAUUUAAAUUUUACUGCUUAAAUCAAAGACAAGUAAAACCUAAUCCUAUAAAAACCAUAAAGUAAAAUAUAUUAGUAUGAUUGUAUACCCAUCUUUGAAAUGAUAGCCAGACAAGUCAGCUACUUGUUGCAAAGCCAUCCUCCAUUCCCGCAGCUUCUCCAUCUUAGAUUCGAACCUUUUCUGAUGCUUAGUCAUUGUUUCUCCAUAACUACCUUUUUGGUGUCUGACAUCAGAAGGAUCUACUUUGUAAAAGACCGGUAUAACCAACAGCCCUUCACUCUUGCAGUGAAGGAUGGUUACAAGUUCAUCUAAACAAAAUGAGGAAAAAGCAUAGUUUUCAGAAAGCACAGUAAUAGCAAUCCUGGACUCGUUAAUUGCGUUGGAGAGUGCAGGUGUUAUUUUGUCUCCUCUCGGAAGCUCCUGAUCAUCAAUGAAAGUGUAGAUUCCCCUGUCACCAAGAGCUUUGUAGAGGUUGCCAGUGAAACCAUUGCGUGUGUCUAAACCUCUGAAGCUGAGGAACACAUCGUAGAUGGAUGCAAGGGAACGUGUUGUCGCAGCCAUUAUCAGAAUAAAAAAAUUUUAGUAUGGUAAUGGUUGAUAUGAUAGGAGUGUAGAAUCAAACUUGAACAAAUAUGAAGAUGAAAGUAUACCAAAUGUUAUAAAAGUCAAGUCAAGCUCUUGUUAUCCAUCAAUAAAUUUAGUAUGGAAAUGGUUGAUAUGAUAGGAGUGUAGAAUCAAACUUGAACAAUUAUAAAGAUGAAAGUAUAGCAAAUGUUAUAAAAGUCAGUAAGCUCUUAUUAUCCAUCAAUAAAUUUAAUAAAUAUUUUAUAUUAAUGUCACGAUAAAGAAUAUCUUUAAUAUAAACUUAAUUCCUAAUUAACUACCUACAAGUUAUGAGACUAGUUGUAAAAAAAUUAUAUUUUAUAAUCAGAUCAUUUACAAACUAAGCAUUUUCUUUUGUAGAAGUAUAAAAUUAUUUUUAAUAUUUGCUAAUGUAUUUAAAAUAAUUAACUGGUGGUACUAAAUUUCAAUUUCUCCCCGUCCCCCAUUAAAAUUGUUAGACGUAAAAAAUUAGUAAAUUUCACAAAUUCUGUGAGCUGCGAUCAAUGUGCAAGAGCACAUUCUUUCAACUCCAAGUUCAAGGCUAUAUUCGGAAAUUUAGCUCUCAAAAAGGAAACCAAAUUCAAAAUUAUGAUUCAUUUAACUUUCCAUAGGAUGAGAACUAGAUGUUUGUUCCAAAGCAAAGGACGUUUAGAUAAAUAAAUCUAAGUUGGUGGAAAUUAAUUUAAAACUGAAUUACAAUUUUAGUUUUCAAACAAUAUUUUCAGAUCGAAUUCAAUUUUUACAUCCUAUUAAUAUAAAAAAAUUAUCCUACCAAUUCAUCAGAAAUAAAAGUAGACGUGACUUGUGAAGUGGUUAAUAUUUCAAUAAUUAAUUAUAUACAUAUUUAAUUAUUAUUAUUAUAAUUAAUUAUAGAAAUAAGUUUUGUAUCUAAAAUUGUUAAAUAAAAUACUACUUUAAAAUAAUUUAUUUUAUUUAAAUAGUUUUAAAAAUACUUUUAGUAUGAAAUUUUUUAUUAUAAAUAUAAAUUUAUUAGUUCCUGAUAACAAAAAACGGUUAUUAAUUCCUUUUUAAAAAACAUAAAGUUAUUAAUCACCUACUAUUGUGACCAUAAAAUUUCUGAUAACAAAUCACAUGUGCCCAUGCCAAGUUGCCAACUCCAAUCCAACCAUUGUUCUUUAGGUCAAAGUCCAAGAACAUGAGCUGAAUGGGUUACCAAUUUAAAAAUAACGCAUCCCCCCUCUGAAUGUGAGAUAUACCACUUGUUACUUUGGUCUCCUGGCGUCAUUGUCAAGAUGUUUUCAAACUCAACACUGAUUGAAGCUCCUUGGGGAAUCAGUCCUGAUCCUUUGGGUUAGGUUGACAUUUUCAGUGAUUUCUCUUGGGAAAUGGUUGGUUUGCUUUUCUGGUUUGUGUACAUGUUGCUAUGCAAACAUUGAUGCUUAACUCUUUGCCAUCUUUCAUGAUCUCAAUGUAGCUCCGAGCUCCGGUUAUUGUUAUUGGCAUUGGCAUUAAUUACAUACUUAUGACAUUCUUUAUCUCAACAUUAUUAUAAAUAAAUAAAACAUAAAAAUAUUGAUCAUCAAAUUUAUGCAGUUAAAAGAUUCACAUUUAUUUUAGUAUUAUCAAAUAAGACUUAUUAAAAAAUAAUCAUCUCAAAAUAAGGCCGUCAAAAUUUACAAAAAAUAUUUUUUUAAAUUAAUGAGGUAAAAUAAUCGCCUACAUGCAAUGUGGUGUCAUGUAAGUAAAAAACCACUCUGAGACAUUUAGGAAUACAUAACAAGACACACCACACAAUGAGUAUGUUAGGUCACUAUCACUAAGUAAAAUCAUAAGGUGACCAGCCAGUGUUACUCUGUUUUGCGAGAAUAUUCCAACCAUAUGAGAUCAAUUUAAACUUAAAGAAGUACUCAAAUCGAAUGGUUUUACCCUCAAGGUCUAGACUCCCAAGAAUCCGUUAGGGUCUCACCUUCCUAAUUCAGGUCCAACCCUUCAAACAAUUUUUGCAAGCAGAUACUGCUCAUGAAUUAUAUAAUACCCAUGAACUCACACUUGUGUUUUAAACACGUUUAACAUAUUGCGCUACAAUUUAACACUAAUUCCUAACUAGAAAACCUACUUUCUCCCUUUAACAUUGUGCAUCAAUAUUUUUCUCAAGAUAAACACUGGUCGGGUAAUUGUAUAAUUCACAACUCAAAACACAAGUAAUGUCACAUCAAGUGUUAACCACACACUUAUGCACAACUAACACAACUAAAACUUAUGUUUACAACUUCACAUCUCAUUAUGUCACAAUCAACCAUCUCAUGUUUAUAUGUAUCUCGCAAUUUAACACAUUCAACUUUACACUUAUACUCAAUCCCCAUAACAAUAUAAUAAUUUCAAAGUAAUAUAUUAUUCUACAACUCAUCAUAUACUCAAUUUAUCAAUUAUAUACAAUUUUAAUUACAAUUUCAUAAUUUUGAUAUAACUAUUUGGUACACUAAUCUUAUUCAAAAAACAAAUAAAUUAUACAAAAAUAUUUCUCAAUUCACGGGGAGUAAAUUAUACAAAUAAAUUAUACAAAAAUAUUUAAAAAAACUAUAUUUAUUUUAUUUUAUAAAUAAGUACAAAAAUGUCACAAUAUUUUUCUCUAUUUUUAAAUAUUUAUGAAAAUGAAAAGUAAGAUAUAAUAUGUAAAGCAUAUAUUGCUAUUUUGGACUUUUUUUGGGGGGAUGUUGUUACCAUGACUAUCCACUUUCUCCCUCGAAAGACAAGGCAUCCAAUUUUAAUAUGAUACAUUAAGGGAUGUUUGGUAGAAGAAAAAUACUUUCUGUUAUGGUUCGCGUCAGGGAUGGGGUAGAGGAAGGAGAUGAAAACGCAGAAUGUUCACAAGCCCUUAUUCGAGAAAGGGGAAAACUCCUUUAUUUCUUGAAGGAUAAUGUUCUUACAUUCUACGAUUAUACAUGUUCAGUAUUUAAAGUGAUUCUACGUAACUGCCUAACAAAUUCAGUUACGUCUAACGGUAUCGGGUUCGAGUAGAAUACGUGGUCCAAGCUUUCGAAAAUUAAGCACGUGUGGUGUAAGCUUGCCCUAACUACCCCUGGUUAUGUUUGGGCCUUUAUGGAGAGCCAUGCAGGUUGGCAACGUGAUAAUCCUUCAGGUGAAAUGGUGCGGACCUGACUCGUGCUGGUCUGAGUCGUGACUGGGCCGAGUCACUAACAAUACCUCCUCCUUCCAAGUCCACCUUGUCCUCAAGGUGGUAAAGCUCGCGUAGGGAGGACCAUGGUUCCCACGAUGUGUCCUCUGGUGGUUCGCCUACCCACUGGGUGAGGACCAGUUGUGUGGGGGGGGGGGGGGUCCGUAGAGUCAUCGAGUUUUGUAUCUAGGAAGCAUAGUGGUCGUCGUAACGGUUCCUUAGAGAGAGUUCCGAGGGUCCAAGUGUCUGUGAGAGGGGGCUGGGGUCCAUGGUGAGCUCGGAGGAGCGAAGAGUGAAAAUCGGGGUGGAUCUGAGAAUGGGGUGGAAGACGCAGGCGGUAAGCCACAGAACCAAUGCGUUCUUCAAUCUGGAAGGGCCCAAAGAAUCGUUUGGAGAGCUUGGGGUGGUGGUGACCGGAAAUGGAGGUUUGACGGCCAGGGCGUAGCCGCACGUAGACCCAUUGUCCGACGGAAAAUGAAACAUCAUCACGCUUAGCAUCAGCAUAGUGUUUCAUUGUAAGUUGGGCCUUUUGUAAUUUCUUCUGAAGCCGGGAGUGUAGAGCUUGUCGUGACUCGAGCAAGGUCUGAGCAGCUUCAUUGUUGGUUGUAUUAGGAAGGUAGUCAUGUGCAACUGGUGGUGGUUUUCCAUAAAUGAUCUCGAACGGUGUUGAGCCUAUGCUGGAGUGCAGAGACGUGUUAUAACACCACUCUGCAAGGGCCAAGUAAUUGAACCAGGCCGUGGUUUGGGAGUGGACAAAGCAUCAGAGGUAUUGCUCGAGAACUCUAUUCAUUACUUCCGUCUGCACGUCCGAUUGGGGGUGAUAGGCCGUGCUGAGACGCAAUUGAGUGCCGGAAAGUCUAAACAGUUCACGCCAAAAGUUGCUUAAGAAAAUUGGAUCGCGAUCGGACACGAUGCUCUUUGGGAAGCCAUGUAAUUUACAGACAAUUUGCAGGACGAGGUUAGCUACUUUGAAGGCAGUGAAACUAGUUGGUAAAGCACCUAAGUGUACCCCUUUAGAGUAUCUAUCUACGACAACAAAUAUGACUGUGAAGCCAUUAGAGGGAGGAAGGUGUGUAAUGAAAUCCAUAGACAGGUCUUCCCAGACCCCCGUAGGUAAUGGCAGUGGCUGCAGAAGGCCUGUCGGGCGCUUGGAGGAGUUCUUAUUUUGUUGGCACACUGAGCACUCCUUGAUGAAGCGACGAACAUCGUGCUUGAGGUUGGUCCAGAAGAAAUUGGAUUGGACUCGAUGGGUUGUCUUCGCAACUCCGAGGUGGCCACCUAACGGGGUUGUGUGGUACUCUGAUAGUAGACUGGGAAUGCAGGGAUUGUUGCUAUUUAACCAUAUUCGACCCUGGAACAAUACGAGAUUGUUGCAGAGGGUAUAGCCAGGGUGGUUUGCUGGGUUGGACUGUAUCGAAUGCAUGAGUUGCUGAAAUUCCGGGAGGGACUCCAAUGACUUUCGAAUGUCAUUGAGGAAGUCCAGCUGGGGAACUGAGAGGAUUAAGAGCUGGCCGGUGGAUGAGGGGGGUCGAGAAAGAGCGUCGGCAACCACGUUGGAAGAUCCAGCUUUAUAUUGUAUGGAGUAAUCAUAACCUAAUAAUUUGGAGAGAUAAUAAUGCUGCUCCGGGGUUUGUAUUAUUUGCGUCAUGAGCUCGCGAAUGCUUUUGUGGUCCGUGAGGAUCGUGAAUGGGCGUCCUAAGAGAUAUUGUCGCCAUUUUCUAACAGCUGCGACAAUGGCAUGGAGUUCACGAAUGUAUGUUGAAGCUUGGGUCAAACAAGGGGUGAGACUCUUGCUGAAAUAUGCCAAAGGAUGUCCACUCUGUGUGAGGACUGCUCCGAUAGCGGUUGCUGAUGCAUCAGUUUCAAUCACGAAGGGAGUGGAGAAGUUGGGUAGGGCUAACACGGGGGCGUUUGUCAUGGCGAAUUUGAGCUGGGAAAAGGCCUCCUGAGAUUCUGAGGUCCAGGUGAAUGCAUCCUUGCAGAGUAAGCUCGUGAGGGGAGCUGCGAUGGUGGCGUACCCCUUUAUAAACUUUCUGUAGAAUCCGGUGAGGCCUAAAAAUGCUCGGAGUUCCUUGGCGGUCCUCGGGUUUGGCCAUUGCACCAUAGCUUGGAUCUUCGAAGGUUCUGGAGUAACUCCCUUGCCGGAAACAACAUGCCCGAGGUAUUCAAUGGUCUCUUGGGCAAACGAGCACUUGGAUUGCUUGAGAUAGAACUCACCAUGCUGUAGAGUUUCGAAGAUAGUUUCCAGAUGUUGAAGGUGAGAUGACAGCGAGCUGCUAUAAACUAGAAUGUCAUCGAAGAACACUGUUACAAAUCUGCGUAAAAAUGGUUGCAACAGGUUGUUCAUGGCCGAUUGAAAGGUGGAUGGGGCAUUGCUGAGCUCGAAGGGCAUAACCAGAUAUUCGAAAUGGCCAUUAUGCGUCCGAAACGCUGUUUUCUCCACAUCUUCUUCGUGCAUCAGGAUUUGGUGAAAUCCUUGCCGGAGAUCGAGCUUGGAGAACUAGGUGGCCUGUCCUAGCUUGUCGAGGAGCUCGUCGAUCGUUGGUAUAGGAAAACGAUCUCGAAUGGUAACUGUGUUGAGCGCCCUGUAGUCCACACACAGUCUCCAUGUGCCGUCUUUCUUCUUAACGAGGAGGACCGGCGAGGAGUAGGGACUGAGACUGGGGCGAAUGAGGCCGGCGGAAAGCAACUCAGAAACUUGUUUCUCAAUUUCAUUCUUUUGGAAGUGUGGGUACCUGUAAGGCCUCACGUUUAUCGGGGCUGUGGAAGGGGCUAAUGUAAUUCGGUGAACCACUUGUCGUGGUGGGGGUAGUCUGGAUGGGGACUGAAAUAGGUGGUUAUAACGGAGAAGAAGGUGCUGGAUGGAGGGAAGAGGGUGUUGGGCCGGGGCGGUUUCGGUUCGGGUAACGGGCUGAACACUCAGUUGGUAAAAGGCCGAGGUGGAGCCGGUUUGAAGGAACUGUUUCAGUUGGGUUGCGGAAACGGGUUCAGGCCCACAUGUAGCGUCUGCUGCUAAAGACACCUCCUGACCCUGGUGUGUAAAGUUCAUGAUACCAGAUGUGUAGUCUGUCGUUAUCGGGCCCAACUUCUUCAGCCAGUCGAUGCCUAGGACCGCAUCAGCUCCAUUGAUUUGCAGGAGGUGGAAUGAUACGAGGAAUUGGUGGCCUUGGACGGUGACUAAUGUCUCUGAGCAAACCUGGUUACAAUCUAAGGUGGAACCGUUGCCCACUAAGACUUGGAGGGACCGAGUUGCUUGGACUGGUAGCUUCAGGAAUUGAGCGAUGCGCGGUUGAAGGAAGUUAUGCGUACUUCUGCUAUCAAUCAAAAUGGUUAACUGCGUGUUCUUGAUGGUGCCAUAGAGCCGAAAGGUGUCUGUGGAUGGUAAUCCUGACAACGCAUGAAGGCUGAUAUGUGAACAAGUCGAAUCUGGUGAGGGCUCGGGUUUGUCAUCAAUGGCAGAAGGUGGUGUCUGUUCGAGCUCGAGUAUGCUUUCUUCAGUGGUGGAGGUUUGUUCAUCAGCAAUGAGGAGCAUGACGCGUCCUUUACAACGAUGAUUAGUGCUCCACUUCUCGUCACAAUUGUAACAUAGUCCUCUUUCUCGUCGGAAAGCGAUCUCGGCCGGAGUUCGUUGCACAAAUGGAGGUUUUGCUUUAAUGGUGGGAUUGGGAUUGAAGGGCGGCGAGGGUUUAGGUGGAAAUGGAUUGCGUGGGGCCAAUACCGCUUUAUCUCGAAGCUUCUAUUCUUGAAGCUUGGCAAGGGCAGUAGCUUGCAGGAGCGAAAUAGGUUGAAGGGCCAUUACCUCACGGCGAACCUCUGGGCAUAAUCCUAAAAUGAAACAGCUUAAAAGAAAUGGGGGAGGAAGGCCUACCACUCGGUUUGCAAGACGUUCGAAUUCCGUUAGGUAGUCAUUAACUGUUCCCUUCUGCGUUAACUUGAAUAGUGCCCCCUUGGGGUCCUCGUAAAACGUUGGUGCGAAGCGCGACUCAAGGGCUUCGAGGAAGCUUUCCCAGGAGGUGAUCAGUCCAUUGCUGAACAUCCACUGAUACCAACUCAGUGCUGUUCCGUCGAGAUACAGGGAGGCGACUGUGACUCGCUCUUCUUCAGGCGUGUUGUGGUAUUGAAAAAGUUGCGUAAGCUUGAAAAUCCAGCCUAAGGGGUCACGGCCAUCGAAACGAGGGAUGUCUAUUUUAACUGAGUUUCGUGGAUGAUUUUGAUGAUUUGCGGUGUUGGUGGCGUUCCGGCCGGAGUCGUGGAGGCGAAGGUGGUCGAGGAUGGCAUCAACUUUGCCGGAAAGGUCUGUGUAUCGGUCUGUAAGUGAGGCCUGGCUAUUGUUAAGACGGGUAAUUGCCUCUUCAAGGCAGUCAGUGGUGGUUUUUCUGGUUCCGUGAUCGGCCAUGGCAAUGGCGGCGCCGGCAGGUCAGACCAGUUGUUAUGGUUCGCGUCAGGGAUGGGGUAGAGGAAGGAGAUGAAAGCGCAGAAUGUUCACAAGCCCUUAUUCGAGAAAGGGGAAAACUCCUUUAUUUCUUGAAGGAUAAUGUUCUUACAUCCUACGAUUAUACAUGUUCAGUAUUUAAAGUGAUUCUACGUAACUGCCUAACAAAUUCAGUUACGUCUAACGGUAUCGGGUUCGAGUAGAACACGUGGUCCAAGCUUUCGAAAAUUAAGCACGUGUGGUGUAAGCUUGCCCUAACUACCCCUGGUUAUGUUUGGGCCUUUAUGGAGAGCCAUGCAGGUUGGCAACGUGAUAAUCCUUCAGGUGAAAUGGUGCGGACCUGACUCGUGCUGGUCUGAGUCGUGACUGGGCCGAGUCACUAACACUUUCCGAUCAUGAAUUUUGGGACUCAUAUUUUGUCACGGAAAGCCACGCCGCCAGGAGUUGAGAGUGCGUUGUUAGUGACAGUGUAUUCAACUGCAUGCAUGUGUUGCAUGUACUGCAGAUAGGAAUACUAAGAAACAAAGUGCAUAGGAUUGGGUCCAUUCGGUGCUUGCUUUAUGUAGAAAACGUAUAAGAUCCUUCCUUUCAAGUUUCCACGACUGCCAUUAAUGUUUGUAAACAUUGAAUGCUUGGUUGUUCCGGUUGGUACGUAACUCAAUUUUGAAUUUUCAGAAAACUGGGGUGUCUAUGGUCAAGUCUUUUUCUAGAAAUGACAAACAGGCAAAGGGUGGGGUCAAUCUUAUUAGGCUCAAGUUUAACUUUAAUAGAACUAUUAUGAAUAAUAUUUUUUUUGAAAGUAUUUAAUGUAAUUAUAUUUAAAAUUAGAAUAUAAUUAAAACUUCAUAAGCUGGAACAAUUAUAAAAUAAAUUUUUAGUACCUAGAAGUUUAUUACUCGAAAAUUUAAAAUUUUAGAAUGUAAAAGUUAAAAUUUUAACCUUGUUUUUAUCAUAAAUAAUACCAGAAUAAGAUUAAAAAAACAAGAUUAAAAAGUAAACGAAUUUCUAAGGAUGCAAAAUGUGAUUUUGGGAUGCAUGAACUGGAUUCGAAAGUGACUCUUUAGUCAAAAGUUUUGGGCUAUCUAAUACAUAAAUUAUAAUAAAAAAAUAAUAACACUCUAUUAUAUGUUAUCUAAAGAAGUUUAAUUACUAUUUUUUAGCUUCAAUGUAAUCUUCUUAUUUUUAAAAGGCGUAAUUUAGUUUUUUAAUUUAUUUAUUGAGUUUAAUUUAGUCUAUUUAUUUUUAAAGGUUUCAAUUAAUUACUUUAUUUUUAAAAAAGUAGAUUCACUUCUGAUCCCAUUUAAAAUUAAGACUGGUUUCAUUUUUUGGAAAUGCUGGAAGCUGGCGGAAAGAAAAAGGAACCAAAUUAAACGUGUUUUUAAAAAAAUAAAGGAUAUGAAUAAACUUUUAUAAAAAAAUAGAGGAAUCAACUUAAAUUUAAAUAAAACUCUCCACUCCACCAUUGGAACUUGUAAUAGCAGGCCAUUAAGAGCUGAUACAAUAUUGAUAUUGAAAGACAUUACUGCGAUAUAUAUAAUCUCGUAUUCUUUAAACUAAAAGCUAUUAAUUAGCAUCUUAGGCUAGAUUGCCAUACUGGGCCUUAUAGUCUCGCCAGAGCUGAUCAACUGGCUUUCCCAGUAACUGAACGAAGAACUGAUCACUAUAACCAGUCCUCAUCAACUGGUUAAGUUGAGCCACAAACCCACUUUUGAGAGAAUCACAAUAAUCCAAAAAAUGAGCAGUAAUAUCAUAACCCUCAUCCCAUCUCUGUCCUUGCCCUGGUUUUCUCCAAUGACUGGCUGCAUAGUUUGCCUUCAGCCUCACAAAAUCUGCAAUACCUCCAAUUAAUCCACCAGGAGCCUCACCAUUCCCAUACCACUGCCAAACGUAGCAAACUUGAUGAAACAGCACCCCUGUGAUCUCUCUUUUCACAUCCCCACCACUAUACCCAUUAACAUAUCUUGCACUCACGUGAAUCUCGUUGUUCAUAGUGUAUGCAAUACCCUCCAUGUCAUCCACGACUAAGCUCACCUUCUGCACAUUUUUUCUGUCAGAAGGGUUUUUUUGCUGAAAGAUCCUCCAUACGAAUUGGGUGGCCAACUCAAGUGUUCGGUUUGCGUAUUCAGCUCCUAUUUUGUCACGGAAUCUCACACCACCGGGGGUUGUCAGUGCAUUGUUUAUUACUGUGAACUUAUAUCCCUGUGUUUCCUGCUUUGUAGCAUCAAAGCUUACUUUUAGAAUAUCUACGAUUUCAUCAAUGGGAAUUCUGCUAUAAUGUUCCACAGCAUAUUCCCAUUCUGCUACUGUUUUUUCAAACAAGUGGGAACCUAUGACUUCCAAAGCCAGUGGAAGGCCAGAAGCAUAAGCUACCACACGAUUCAAGACGUGCUCAUAACUUGGAUCAAUUUUUUCUCUUCUGAAAGCAUUCCAAGUAAGCAAUUGAAGAGCAGCAUUGUCAUUCAAAACCUUCACCUCAUAAGUUCUUUCAAUGCCAUGAUAUUUUAGCAGAUGUUUGUCCCGAGUGGUAAUGAUGACUCUGCUACCGGGACCAAACCAAUCAGGUCUUCCAACAAUAGCCUUUAAUUGCUCGUGCCUGUCUGCAUCGUCUAAAAUCAAGAGAACCUUCUUUCUUCGGAGCCUAUGUUGAAUCAUUGAAGCUCCUUCUUGCCAACUUGUUAAGUUGAUGUCCUUCUCACCAAGUAAUUUUAAAAGAAGGAUGCUUUGAAGGUGUUUUAACCCAUGUUUAUUUGAUUCUUCUCUCACAUUUUGAAGAAAACAUGAUUCGUCAAAAUGGAGAGCAAUCAAAUUAUAAACAGCUAGAGAAAGGGUUGUUUUUCCUAACCCACGCAUCCCAUGGAUCCCUAUGAUAUGGACAACAUCAUCUGAUCCAACAUCCAAAAGCUUCAUUAAGUCUGUCACUUGUGACUCUAGACCAACUGGAUAAUCCAGAACAUGUAAAGAAGCUCGAUUAAUCUUCCUAGAGACCUCCUCAACAAUGCUCCCAAUAAACUUGUAUUCAUAUGCAUCUCUGUUUCAAACAAACAAAAAAAGUUCUAAUGAAGUCAACCUAAAAGCCUUGCAUCCAUGUCUUGCUAGGUACAUUAAUUGUAAAGGUUAACAAGAGCAUUUCUUUUCUAUUUAAAUUUUACUGGUAAAAUCAAAGACAAGUAAAACCUAAUCCUAUAAAAACCAUAAAGUAAAUUAUAUUAGUAUGAUUGUAUACCCAUCUUUGAAAUGAUGGCCAGACAAGUCAGCUACUUGUUUCAAAGCCAUCCUCCAUUUCUGCAGCUUCUCCAUCUUAGAUUCGAACCUUUUCUGAUGCUUAAUCAUUGCUUCUCCAUAACUACCUUUCUGGUGUCUGAGAUCAGAAGGAUCUACGUUGUAAAAGACCGGUAUAACCAACAGCCCUUCACUCUUGCAGUGAAGGAUGGUUACAAGUUCAUCUAAACAAAAUGAGGAAAAAGCAUAGUUUUGAGAAAGCACAGUAAUAGCAAUCCUGGACUCUUGAAUUGCCUUCGAAAGUGCAGGUGUUAUUUCAUCUCCACCGUGAAGCUUCUCUUCAUCAAAGAAGGUAUGAAUUCCCUUCUCACAGAGAGCCCUGUAUAGAUUGCCAGUGAAACCAUAGCGUGUGUCUUCCCCUCUGAAGCUGAGGAACACAUCAUAGAUGAAUGGAAGGGAACGUGUUGUUGCAGCCAUUAUUAGAAGAAAGAAGUUUAGUAUGAUAAUGGUUGAUAUGGUGGGAGUGUAGAAUCAAACUUGAACAAAUAUGAGAAAGAUAUAUACCAAAUGUUAUAAAAGUCAAGUACGUCAAGCUCUUAUUAAUUGUCUGUUAUAAAAUUCAAUUCAAGCUCUUAUUCUAUGUUAUAAAAGUCAAGUUAAGAUCUUAUAAAGAAAGAUGCUCUCACUUUUUUUCAUUUUAAAUACUACUUUUCAUAAUCAAAUUAUCACAAAUAAACACUAAAAGCAUUUUUAAUAAUUGGUACUGUAUUUCAAAUAAUUAACUGGUGGUACUACUUAUUCUCCCUCCCCAAAAAUAAUUGUUAAUUAGAGAAUGAAAAUAUAUAUUAAAUAAUAAGUAAUCUGAUAAUUUUUAAUCACAGGAGCUUCAAAAUUUGUCUUUUUAUGUAUAUAAAUUUCUCAUUGAAAGAGUUUUAUAAUUACCUUGAUAAUUUUACUGAAAUUAAAACACCCACACAUAAGAUGUUUUACUUUAAGUCAGAUGUAUUUGUUCGAAAAGUAAUAGAAGUUAAUUUUGUAUAAUAAAAAAUGUUAACCAAUAAUUUAGGACAUUGAUUAAAAAAUAAAAAUAAAAAUUUUGAAAAAUCUCACAUAUGAUAUACUUUCUUUUUGUAAUUUUUAAUGCAACUUAUUAAUUUGAUAACGCAACUUCAAUUUUGGUGGGUCAAAUAUGAUUUUACAUAUUUGAAUUUUAUCUAUACUUCUCAAUUUAUAAUCAAUUUUUUAAUUAAAUUUAAAGGCUGAUACACUGAAUAAGUGAUUUGGCACAGUAAAAUGAGGAAGAAGCAUAGUUUUGAGAAAGCACAGUAAUAGCAAUCCUGGACUCUCGAAUUUCCUUCAAAAGUGCAGGUGUUAUUUAUUUCGUCUACUCUCAGAAGCUCCUGAUACAGUGUAGAUUUCCCUGUCAUCAAGAGCUUUGUGGAGAUUGCCAGUGAAACCAUAGCGUGUGUCUAAACCUCUAAAGCUGAGGAACACAUCAUAGAUGGAUGCAAGGGAACGUUUCGUUGCAGCCAUUAUUAGAAGAAACAAGUUUAGUAUGAUAAUGGUUAAUUGAUAUGGUAGGAAUGUAGAAUCAAACUUGAACAAAUAUGAAAAAGAUAGUAUAGAAAAUGUAAAGUGGGGCAAACCAAGCAUUAUUUGACGCGGUCAUACAAAUGUUUAUUAUUAGGCAGAGUAACAAUGACAUAUGGGGCCAAACAAUAACUAGUAACGCGGACACAUCGUACCAAAGUCGAUAGCCUUGUGCAAAAUAUGUGGCUUUUUUUCUUUUGUUUUCUCUCUCUGUCAAAUAAGUCAAAAUCUUAUGUUGUUUAAUUUUAUUAAGGUCUCAGGUUUUGCUGGAUGAUGAGAAGAGGAUGGUUAAAAUUAAAGAUAAGAUUUCUAUAUUAAUUAUUAAUAAAUUUAAUUAAUAUUUCAUAUUAAUGUCAUCAGUAAAGAAUAUCUUUACUAUAUCUUCUACCUACAAGCUAUGAGACAAGUAGUAAAAAAAUUACAUUUUAUAAUUAAAUCAUUACAAUCUAAGUAUUUUUUUUGUAGAAGUAUAAAAUUAUUUUUAGUAUUUGCUACUGCAUGUAUUUAAAAUAAUUAACUGGUGGUACUAAAUUGUAAUUUCUCCCCGUCCCCCAUUAAAAUUGUUAGACGUAAAAAGUUAGUCGAUUUCACAAAUUCUGUGAUCUGAGAUUAAUGAGCAAGAGCACAUUCUUUCAACUCCAAGUUGAAGGCUAUAUUCGGAAAUUUAGCUCUGAAAAAGGAAAAAAGGAAACCAAAUUCAAAAAUUAUGAUUCAUUUAACUUUCCAUAGGAUGAGAAUUAGAUGUUUGUUCCAAAGCCAAGAACAUGAGCUGAAUGGGUUGCCAAUAAAAAAAUAACGCAUUCCCCCUCUGAAUGUGAGAUAUGGCAUUCAAAGACUAGUUACUUUGGUCUCCUGGCCUCCUUGUCAAGAUAAGAUGUUUUCAAACUCAACACUAAUAGAAGCUCCUAUGGGAAUCCGUCCUGAUCCUUCGGGGUAGGGUGACAUUCACUACUAUAAAAUGAUGAUUCAACAUCGCCUCAGCUACAUGGGUUCGCCUCAUCUACAUCGGUUGUCGAAAAACCGUUGUAGUAAAACAUACGGUGACAUUUUUAAAAUUAAAACUAACUAUGUUAAGGUGUUAAUGGCGGUUUUUUAUAAAAUCGCCUUUUAUGUGUAUGUUACAAAGACAGUUUUAUAAAAACCGUCUUUGUUCAUAAAUACACUAUUAUGGUUUUUUAAUCACCCAUCUUUGAAGUCACGUGAUUUUAAUUUCAAUUCUAUUUUCACUUUCGAAGCUGAAGACUACGCCAUUUUCUGGUGACAUACGCAUUUUCUGGUCACCGAAUUCAACAAUGUCAUCGACGCACUGCCGCCGGGGACGACCAACGACCUGCACGAGAUCACGAAGCGAAUGGUGGCAGGAGGCUUCGGGAAGGAGUGCUCGCACGUGUACAGAAGUUGCCAGAGAGAGUUCUUGGAAGAAAGUGUGUCGAGAUUAGGGUUACAGAAGCUCAGCAUUGAGGAGGUUCAUAAGAUGACAUGGCAGGACCUCGAAGAGAAGAUUAAGAAAUGGAUUAAGGCCUCCAACAUCGCUCUCAAGAUCUUCUUCCCCAGCGAGCGCCGUUUCUGUGACCGUGUCUUCUUCGGAUUCGCCUCCGCCUCAGACUUCUCCUUCAAGGAGUUUUGUCGCUGGAAAGGCUGUUCCGAAUCCUCGACGUGUUUGAGACGCUGCGUGACCUAUUUCUGGAGUUUGAGGCUCUGUUUUCUGAUCAGUUUAGUGUGUCGCUCAGGAAUGAAGCGAUUACGAUUUGGAAGAGGUUGGGGGAAGAGAUUAGGAGAAUUUUUAUGGAGCUGGAGAAUUUGAUUCCCGGGAUCCGGCAAAGAUUGCAGUUCCUGGUAGCGGACUUCAUCCGAUCACUCGCUAUGUGAUAAACUACCUCCGUGCCACAUGUCAGUCACGGCAGAGCUUGGAACAGUUUUUUGAAGACUAUGGCAGGAAAUAGUACCCAAAGCUUGAUGAUAGGGUUCCUUCCUCUUCUUCUCUGUCAGUGCACUAUCAAAGAAGCUCCUGGAAUAAGGUAUUAGGGAUUCUGAAGUUCGAUAGUAAUGGGUCAAUGCCCCCUAUUAGCUUGGCAAAGUCAACGAAGGAGAAACUCAAGUCGUUUAACACGGUUUUUGAGGAGAUAUGCAGGGAACAGUCUUCAUGGUUUGUCUUUGAUGAGCAGCUUAGGGAAGAAAUAAGAAUUUCGCUUGAGAAAAUCUUGCUUCCUGCGUAUGGAAACUUUGUUGCAAGGUUUUAGAGUGUUUCAGAGCUUGGAAAGCAUGCUGAUAAGUAUAUAUAUUGAGUACGGAACGGAGGAAAUUCAAGCAAGACUCAAUGGUUUGUUUCAGUGAAGCAGUGGAUCAACUGGUAGCCGAAAGUGAAGGUGAAGCUGCUACUAGUUGUUCUUGUGUAUUUGUAGUGUAAUUAAAUUAAAAUACAAUGUUUUGAUUAUCACAAAAUUGUAGUCUUGUAGUCGUGUACUAUAAAUACUACUGUAUGUUAUUCUUCUUAGCAUCAUUGUGGAGGAUUGAAAAAGGAUUUUAAAGUAAGAGCUAGAGUUACAAAAUUAACCUUUAUGUUGUAACAUUUGAGGUGGUUCUUAUUGGUUUGUAUUUCAUAGAAUACAUUAGAAUAUAUGAUAAGAUAUUCUAUGAAAUACAUACAAUUCUAUCAUGACUCAUGUGUUUGAAACUUAAUAAUGGCUACCAACAUUGGAUUUUCAUAUGGUGGUGUAAACUAAGCCGAUCAUUCCAAUAUUUGUUUAUCAGUUCAAUUAAAAAAAAUAAAUUACAUUUUAAUUUCUUAUAAUUUGACUUAAAAUACUUUAUUCUGUGUUACCUGAACCAUAUAGAAUUUGAUAUUUUAUCAUCUUAUGUUUUGUUUUAAUUUAUUAUCACAUUGAUAAUUUAGUACAUUUUAUCUAUUUUCUAAAGAUUAAUAUAUUUUACUCUCUCCAUUUUCAGUUCAAAAAAUAGUAUAUAUGUAAAAAGAAAAAAAAAACAAGUUGAGCCACUAAUAAUGGAGAUUAAUGUAAAAUAUAUUUGCUUUAAAUUGUUGUUUUAAGUUGAGCAAAUAUUUUUAAGAAAUACUAGUAAUUUUUUAAACAGAAACUGUAACAUAAAUGGCCUAAAUAUACUCUUUGACCAUUAGGCUUGAAAUGGUAGCAGUUACUAAGAUGCGUUUUGUUUUAUUAGUAAUAUUGGUGUUGGAAUUGAAGAAAUAAAGAUAUUUUUUAGAUGCAAGAAGGAGGAAACUGAAAACAAAGCAAGUAGUACUACUGUGGUGUGGUGUGGUGUUAUUUUGUUUCGUUGUCUGCUAAUAAUUGUAAGCAUCAGUAAUGGGCAGUGGGUGGCAGCACAUGGCCACCGUGCUCCACCAAUCACCAAUCCAACUUCGCUUUCUUAAAUCAUAUCGACAUAAGGACAAUUUCGUAAUAUUUUUAUUGUGGAAAGUGAAAACUAUGAAUCUAGAUUAUAUAACUAUAAAUAAAUGUUUUAAGAUUAAAAGUUAGUCCGUGGUUAUAUACAUGACCACUUAAUAAAGCUUCAUCAAGUGCUUUUUUUAAAAUAAAAUAAAAAUAACCAUUCAAAUAUAAUUUAAUAGUGUAGGUUCAAAAUAUUCUGCGUGAUUUCUAUUUGGAAAUGGUUGGUUGUCUUUUCUGGUAUGUGUGGCUAUACAAACAUUCUUGCUGAACUGUUUGUCAUCUUUCAUGAUUUCAAUGUACCUUGGAACUCUACUUAUUGGCAUCAUAAAAUUGUAGCAUACAUUAAUGUUUCAAGAAAGAUAGAGUCUAAUUUCAACAGUUUUUGAAUAAAUUUACACCAAUUAAUUUUGAAACAUGAAGAAUACUAAACUAAAACUGAGAGAAUAAUUAUGGGUUGAAGUUUGAACAAAUGAAAUGGGCGGCUGAGAUCAUUCACAUCAAUGCAUGUGAUAAAAGUAAAAUACAACAAACAUUAAUUGGAAGACUUAUUAAUUUGUUGGUUUAAAUUUUCAUAGUCUUAACAAAUUCCUCAUAGCUAAUUUGACCAUCACCAUCCAAAUCUGCAGUUGCAAUCAUCUCCUCCACCUCUCCAGCAGUUGUGUUUUCACCCAGUUUGAUCAGAACUUGCCUCAACUGCAUAGCACGGAAUGAUUUUAACAUAUGAGGGCAUGUGUAUGUCUUUGAGCAUAUAUGCAGUUCUUAGUUAAUACUAAUAAAUUCUAUAUGAAAAAAGGAAGUUAACACUGAUAAAUUAAAAAUGAUCAAGUGAAAACUGAAAAACAAGAUUUUCUUCCUGAUCUUAUUUUAAAAUGUCAAAACCCAAGACAUUUUUUUUAAAACCAAACAGGCAAACAACUAUUAUUCAGAGUAUGCGGAAAGGUUCAAAGUACCAUCCUGAAUGUGCAAGUGACAUUAAUGUUCCUUUUUCUUUUCUUUUUUGGCCUUUUUCUCAGUGACAUAUAUAAAUAUAUAUGUACAUGAUAUCCUAGCCUCUCACCAUACAAUUUCAUUCCAUUUUUAAUAUACAAUUAUGGAAAAGGUUGAAUUAUUAAAAAUAAUACACGGGUAAUUUUAUAUAUUUUUAUUAUUUUUUGUUUUAAAAUUAUUGAUUUUCCUAUUUUAAAUUAUUAAUAUUCUGUAAAUUUCUAGCUUUUUUUCAUUAUUCUUUAUUUAAAAUAUCUAGAUUUGAUCUUUACAAAGAAUACUACACUUCUAGCCUCUUUAAAAAGCGCUUCAACAAUAUCAUAUAUUAAAUAAGGUUACUUUAAUCUAAAUGUAUGAAUAUUAUAUACUUAUUAAAUACUUUUUAAUCUAUUUAUACUAACCUUAAACAUCAAUAAUUUUAGAAGGGCUGUAGCAAUUUAUAAAAUAAAUUUGUGUGUGUGUAAAAAAUAUUAAAAGAACAAUCAAAGGGAAGAUGCACUUUGCAACAUCUUGACACUACUUGCUUUUUGUUCAAGUUUGAAGUAACCUUACUUCGUCAGAAAUCUCAUGAAUACUUUGAUGGGCGAUUGCCGUCAGAAAAAGCAAGUUAAAAUAAAAAAAUGAAUAGAAAGAAUAAAAGUUUAUACAUAUACCUCACUUGCUGAAAUGUAGCCAUUUUGAUCCUUGUCAAACACCUUGAAAGCCUCUCUGUAUUCUUGCUCUUGAUGAGUUCCCUAACCGAGACAGAAAACAGAACUGAACUUAGUAUAUGGCUGUUCUAUAUAUAAUAGUAAUAAUGAGAAGAAUAUUAAUCUUAGCAAAAAAUGCAAUAUUAAUUCCUUACUUGCACUUUGGACUCUUGUUCAACAGGCAGAUCGGCAACAUGUACUCUAGCAGGAUUAAUCUUCUCAGAGACCGACGCAACAAUUCUCUCAAUAAACUUGUACUCAUAUUCAUCUCUGUUAUUAAUAUUUGAACAUUAAAUUGUGAGACAAGUAAAACUUAAUUAAUCCAAUAAAAAUUAAAACAUAAAAAGAUUGGUAUCAUUGGGUACCUGUAUUUGAAAUGAAAGCCAGACAAGUCAGCAACUUGACGCAGAGCCAUCUCCCAAUUCUGGAACUUUUCUGGAAAUCUUAUCUUAUGCUUAGCCAAUGCUUCUCCAUAAGUACCCUUCUGGUGUCUGACAUCAGAAGGAUACACCUUAUAAAACACUGGUAUAAUCAUCAUCCCAUUAUACUGGGCGCAGUGAACAAUGGAUGUAAGUUCAUCUAAGCAAAAUGAGGAAGAAGCAAAGUCUUCAGAGAGCACAGUGAUGGCAAUUCUGGAAUCUUUAAUUGCCUUCAAAAGUGCAGGUGUUAUUUCCUCUCCGCUGUGAAGCUUCUCUUCGUCAAAGAAGGUACGAAUUCCCUUGUCAGAAAGAGCCCUGUAGAGAUUGCUGGUGAAACCAUAGCGUGUGUCUUCCCCUCUGAAGUUGAGGAACACAUCGUAGAUGGAUGCACGGGAACUUGUUGUUGCAGCCAUUAUUAGAAGGAAAAAAGUUUAGAAUGAAACUUGAAGAAAUAUGAAAAUGAAAGUAUCCCAAAUUAAUGCUAAGUGUUAUAAAGAAGAUAACCGCCUUUGUGGAAAAUAGCUAAGAUGCUCUCACUUUUUUUCAUUUUAAAAAAAAAAGUACUUUUUUAUAAUCAAAUUGUUACAAAUAAACUAUAAAAGUAUUUUUAAUAAUUGGCAACUGGUGUACUAGUAAUUCUGCCCCACCCCCUAAAAGAAUCUUUAGAGAAUCAAAAUAUAUAUUAACUAAUAAGUGAUCUGAUAAUUUUUAAACAAGUGUUUUAUACAGAAGAUAGCCGCCUUUAUGGGAAAUAGCUGUGUUAUAAAGAAGAUAGCUGCCUUUGUUGAAAAUCUCUUGCUUUCUCUCAUUCAUUGUUAUAAAAGUCAAGUCAAGCUCUUAUAAAGGAAGAUGUUCUCACUUUUUUUUUUCAUUUUAAAAAAUACUUUUUGUAAUCAAAUUCUUGCAAAUAAACUAUAAAAGUAUUUUUAAUAAUUAACUGGUGGUACAACUAAUUAUGUAGCCCCUAUAAAAAAAUCUUUAGAGAAUCAAAAUAUAUAUUAACUAAUAAGUAAUCUGAUAAUUUUUAAUCACUAGAGCUUCAGAGUUCGUCUUUUAUAAAAAACAGAGUAAAAAUAUAAAAGAGAGAUGAAAAUAGAAAAGAGAUAGAAUCUGAGAAAAAAAAGUCAUGCGUGAAAAUGUUUUACACUAUCAAUUAAUCAUAUGAUAAAUUUGUUGAUUAUUAAACUAACUAGUUUAAAAUAUUAUCUAUUAAGUAAAAAUUUAUUAUGAAUGCACAUAGUUAUUUAAAAAAAUAUAUACUAAAAGGAUGUAGGACACUGAAUUAGGUUAGGACAAUCCAAAGCAUAACUCAGAAUCCAUUCUAAAGACUAUAUUGAGUCUAAUUUCAAAAUUCUAAUUCAUCUAAAUCAACUUUAAACCGAACUCAGAUGAUGAAACUAGUUGGAUAUUGUUCACCCUACAGUGUGAUAACUGUAAGGUUUGGAAGGAAAACAUUCUUCUCCAUUUUGACUAAAUCAGCAUCGAUUAUGCUAUUAGGAAAUGAUAAAUCAUUGAGUAUUACUAAAACUAACAGCUCUAGAUUUGUACACACAUAUAUAUGAUGUCUACCAGGCUUAAAUUACUGAGGUCAUAUUGUCAGAGAAACUGGAAUUCUACAUCUCAUAAAAUCUAAAAACAACCAGCUAUGUGUUCAUCCAAGAUAAUCCUUAUGAUGAUAAUGAAUAAGACAUUCACUUGAAGUAUAUUUGAUUCUAGAGAGGCAUAGAACAAAACACAUCUAUUUUUUAUUUACAAGCAAGCACAAAUCUAUUGAUAUGCUCAAACUCAGUGAAUUAGCAUUCCACUUUCUGAAGCUGUAAGCAGCCAAUAUAGUAGUAUGAUUAAACCUAAGAAACACUGUUACAAAUUUAAGAAGUUUAAGUCUUUCUUCUUCCUGCUCAAACUAUUUCUUCAUUGGAAGUUGAAUGCACCUGACCCUGCACCUUGCAAUAGGAAACCCCUAGAAGACCUAUUCAAAGCAAAAAGGAAUCAAUCUAAACUAAGAGGAAAAAUAAACCAUGGAAAUCUCAUCAAACAUUCUCACCAAAUCUCAUUUGCAUGGAGUCCUGCUGUAUCUGUAUAAAAAUGUUGAAUCGCAGUUCUUUCAUUCCUUCAAUCCAUUAUCGCGACUUUUAGCAAUGCAAAAAUCUUUUAGUUGAAGAGAGCAGUCACUAGUUUCCAGCAAUGGAAACCACUGCAGCAGGAGCAACUAGCAAUAGUUUGUAUGGGGAUUUUGAACCUUACAGAAGAUGGCAUACAGAGGAAGGACAACAGACUCUUGAGGAGUUUUCUGCAUUGCUCAUCAGUUUAUUGUCUCACCUCCACUAUCCAUUUUUUCAAGAUAUAAUCAUCAUCAUAUGAUCCCUACUUAGCAGCAUCUUCCUAAUCAAUUAUGUUGUUUACUAAAUUCCAGUUAAUCAGUUUCAAAUUACUACUAAAAAGAGCACAUGUUAUGACGCCAAAACGAGGUCGGUUCAAAUAAACCAUCUUACAAUAUAUGGCCGAGACAAUUUUAUAAAUAUGAGGAGUUUAACAAAGAAGGUUAUAUAAAAACUGCCUUAGAAUAUAUGGCGGUUGGCAUCGCUGUGCUUCGGCACGGCUGCGGGGUUUGAGGUCUGGCACAGUUGCUUCUUGCAAUGCUGUUAGUGUUCGUGAAGGACCCUUUCCCGCACGUGCAAGCCUAGGAACUGGAAGGGCUUGCUGGUUUCUGCGAGCCUGGCAGAGAGUCAAGUGACAUCGUUUUCCUGUUGGCAAAACCCUCGUCUCUCGCUAGUACCCUGGGAACCAAGGUUUUUUAUUUUUCUUCUCUUAUUUUAAAACCCUUUCUAUAUAGCUCCAUAACUUCAUUUUUUAUAUAUGGAGUGGUGGCUGCCGAAGGUAAGUUUUCAUCUUCUUUGAACUUCAUCAUUGCUAUUGCCUUCUAAAUUUCUGCAUUAUCAUUUUAAUUUGUGCAAAAGAAAAUGUUCACACCCUUGUUUAUUUUCUCUGGAUUGCUUCACAGAAGGAGAGCAGAGAGCACAACCAAGUGUUCAUCUUUGACUCACCAUGAAGCUCAUCAGGUUUUUCUCUCUUUGUUGAUUUAUCUGUGAAUUUUCUUCUGUUGUGUUUUUUUAAUUAGCAUCUCAUUCAGUGCAUUACAAGGUGAUGCAAGUAUAAAUCUGAUUUAGAAUCAUUCGAUAAGCAUGUGAAAGGCCUGCAUUUUGUGCUUAUGAACAGGGAAAGGAUAUUCUACUUGCUUUGUUGGAAAAUCCCAUUCUAGUAUCAGCCUCAAACUGUUUGAAGGCUAACUCAGAGAGGAAGUUCUCAGUAUCUGAUGUGUCUAGUCCAGAGAGAUCAAAAUGGGUUUAUAUAUUCCAGAGAGAAUAUGCUACCAUUGACCCCGCCCUUGUUGAUGUAAUUUCUUAACUUUUUGCAAUGUCAUUAAGCUAAUAUGUAUUACUUCAAAUGUAAUCAUUUCCCUUUGACUUCAGUGAUGAUGUGUAAGAGAUAAUUUUUGUAAAAUUGUAAAUUUAAUUUUAAACUAGUUCAUAGUUCAUUAUUGUAUGCAACUAUUAAUCUUGUGCAUGCAGACAAUUCAUACUUAAUUGGACUAAGUCACAUCAUAUGUGGAAUUUCUUUUUCCGGUCCAUUUUUUCAAAUGUUCCUUCUACUAGGUGUUCAAAUAUUGGUUUUAUUAUUUUUAAUUUAACACUGCAGGAUAUCAGUUGCCGCAGAGAUACUGAUGCAAUUUUCCUUUCAGGGGACUUCUAGAAUACAUAUACAUUGGAAGGGAGCCGCAAAGAUAGUUCUAGGAGCAUGUACUCAAUAUCUUGAUUCAUAUGGUCAAUUGCUAUCCAUUGAAGAAGAGAAAAAGGUUAGGGAUGGCAGUUUCAAGUCCAGAGAGCUUGCUGAUGGAAUGAAAUUCAUUUAAUUGAACAUUGGAGAUGUUAUUUUAUUUUUCUUUUGGUUUAGAACAAUCAGAAAUUAAGGAAAAAUACAUGGAACAAGGUUUCCAACAAAUUUCUUUUUUCUUAUCAAUGUGAUUAUAGUGUCAUUUGAAGUUACUCUGAUAGAGAACCAAAUCAAGAAAUGGGGAAAAAAUCAAAGCACAUUGUUCCUUUAUUGGAAGCCUAACUCUCACCUUGCAAUGCUAGAAUUGGAACAAGCAACUCCCCAGAAGACCCAUUUAAACAAAAAAGGAAUUAUUCUCAACCAAGAGGAAAAUUAAACCAUGAAAAUCCCAUUACGGUUUCUCACCAGAAUCUCAUUUGCAUGCAGUACGAUAUUUGUAUGAAAAAUGUUUAGUCACAAUUCUUUCAUUCAUUCAAUCCAUUAUCAUAACUUUUUGCAAUACAAAUAUUUCUAGUUUAGCCGUUUAAGAGGGCAUUCACCAGUUUCCUGCAAUGGAAAAUGAUGCUGGAGCAACUAGCAAUAGUUUGUAGGGGAUUUUGAACCUUACCGCAAAUGGCUUACAAAGGAAGGACAACAGACUCUUGAAGAGUUUUCUGACUUUGCCUUCUCUGUUUCUUAGCAUUUUCACCUCAACAUUUAUUUUUAGAUAGUGGUGUCUGUUGGACUUUGACUUGUUUAUUUCUUAGGCUGCUUCCUAUCCUUAUUAAUGGCACGUUUUUAAUCUCCAUUCAUAAAUUUAAAAACAACAAGCUAUCAGCCAUCCUAAGACAAUCCUUAUCAAGAAAAUGAAGAAGACAUUAUCUAGCUUAAAUUACACUAGUUAUUCCUUAGAUUUGGUGAAAUUUUCACAACCUUUUCAUACUUUUUUUACCCCUACACUAACCCCUCAAUUAUUUCAAAAAUAUUAUUCCAGUACCUCUUAUACAUUAUACUAACCUUCCUUAAUUGUUUGAAGAACAUUACACUGUGUUCACUUAUAAAGAAGGUAGUUGUAAAUGUUAAAAAAAAUAAUACUUAAUAAUUUAGAGAGGCAUAUAGAAGUAGAAGUAAACACAAAUCUAUUUAUAUGCCCAACUCAAACUCAAUAAGAAUCCUAAGUAGACAUUCUUCUUACAAGUAUAAAAAAUUUAACUUUCUCAACUGCUAUGAACAGUUGAUAUAGAUCAUAUAGUAGUAUGCUAGCUAAAUCCUAAGAAGUACACUUUCAAAAUUUAACUAAUUGAAGUUUUUCUCCUUCCUGAUCAAAUUAUUUAGCAUAACCAGCGGGAAUCUGAUCAUCGUAGCAAUUAGAAGAGAAAAAGUUAAACAUCCAAAAACAAAUGUAUAUACAUACAAAAAUAAAUAUAAAAAUAAAUUACAAAUAUAUUAUUAUAUUGUUUUAUAGUAGAACUUGUAAGGGAAAAUCUAAAAGUAAACAAAAAGUAUAUUAAAGAUUUCUUUUUACUUUAUUUUAAUUACAAUGUAUAUAUAAGAUAAAUACCUGUUGGUUUAUGUAAUUUUGAAGUGUAACUAUAAAAAUAUAUACAAAGAUAAAACUUGAAAGGUUAUAUAUAGAAAAUGCAUAAAGUAGUGAAAGAUGAAUAUAAAUGAGUCAAAAGUACAUGAUGAAGAUAGGGUGAAGAGCAGUUGGGUUAAGUCAAUUUUUUUCAACUGAAACCAAAAUAAUAAAAUAAAAAACAAAAAAAAAUAAGAAAAAAGCUAUGGAAAACUUGCGUGUUCCCAAAGCUAUGGUUUGUAGUAAGGAGCGGCUUUCUGAUGCAGAGCUGCUGAGAUAUGGAUCAUCAAAUCGAAUAUCUUCCUCCAUACUGCCUUCUUCUCUGAAUAUAUGGAUUCCAGUUGCUUUAAUGAGUGAGCUCUCUAAGUCUAACACACCUUCUUUUCUUUUUUGCUUUUCAUAGUCUAACACACUUUGAUAUCUAACCUCCACAUGGUUCCAUUCCUUUUCCCUAGCCACUUCUAAAGCAAACAGAGAUCUAGAGGGACGAAAGAUAUGUGUAUGAUCCAAUUUCAACAUACUGUAACUUUCAUAAUCGAGCAGAUAGUUUAGAAUUUUUCCAUCGAUGAACACCUUGGGUAUAACGAAAGUUUGCAGGUCAUCCGACACAGGUGCAAUAAGAAGACAAAGAAGUUUGGAAGGGAAUUUAUUACGAAACCAGAAAGAACUUGAAUGUCCACUGCUUUGCUGAUCCAACCACUCUGGUAUUCUUGUUCCUGGAAACACAAACUCGGUUCCUCCAGCCUCAUACAGUUCCUGUUAGUCAUAAUUCAUACAGAAUUCAUAAGUUUAACAACAUUAAGUGCACUAUACAUCAUCAAAUCCUGUACAGUAACAAAAAAGACAAUACCUGAUUUAAAAACAUGCUUUUACUCGAGGAAGUCAAGGAUGCACAGUUUCUUGCAUGGAAAUAACAUAAGUUUGGUGGAAGCCCUCUAAUUUCCUGAAGAUGCUCGCAAUCACUCACCAUAAGUGCUCUUAAAAAUUUCAAUUCUUUGAAGAAUUCAGGAAGGAUUGUGAAAUUAUUCCCCGAUAGAUCUAAAUAUCCUACACGAGCAAACCUCUUGGAACCUGUUAAAAAAAAUCAUCACAGAGAUUGCAAUUCAUGGCAGAAAACGAAAGUUUCAUUGAAGACGGUAUUGAGCCCACUUUUUCUUCACCUCCUUCCGAUUCUACCCAUUGCCACCUGUUACAAUUUUUAAUUUGGAAUCGAAACAGAUUGGGCAUCAUGGCUAAGCUACAUCGUAACUGAACAAUUCCACAGCUCCACAGGGAUAACAGUUGGAGUCCAAUAAGAUUUUGAAAUGAAAAUGGCAAUUCUUUUAUGGGAAGGCCAUCCAAUUCAAGGCUCUUUAUGUUUUCCAUCUCUCCUAAUAUUUCUGGAAAAUAAUCAAGACUGGAACAGUGAGAAAGUUCAAGUGUUUCAAGAGAGGUCAAGUUGAGAGGCGGAAAACUCGUAAGCUUCCUGCAACCAUAAGCACUCAACUUUUUUAAGUUUUUUCAGAAAACCAAUGGAGUCAUCAACUGCAACUAAACUCUCACACCCUUCAAAUGAAAGUUCCCUCAAAUUUGCGAGAUCAGAUACAUCAGGUAUCUUUGUUAAAAAUUCGCACUGGUCAAAAUUUAAAACUGUUAGAUGUCCCAACUUCUGCAAGGAAAAAAAAAAGAAAUAAGAAACAAAUGAAUAAAUUUAAUUCACAGAAUGAGAAAAAUAUAAUCUUUAAACUUGCCUUCGAUGGGCCAUGGAACUCAAAUGACUUAAUGGAACUGUUAGGUAACUUGCAUAUAACAAGGUUCAUCGGAUCAAAGUUCGAUGGUAAACAAUUUGAAGGAUAUCUGUGCCAUUCCAGUACUCUCAAACCUUCUGGAAAAUAACUGGGACCUUUGGAAAAUUUGCCAUUUCUAAUAAUAAGUAUUUUAAGGUUUUCCAUCUUCAUGAAGGCGUUUUCAUUCCAUUCCACUGUUUCUUCUUUGUCAGAUAUUGAGAAAUCCACACAUAUGAUUUCAAUUUUACUAGUUCCCUGUUAAUGCAAAAAGGCAUGAAUCAACCACAAUACAACUUGUGUGAAAUAUCAAUUGACUCGCUUAGAAAAAUUUACAAAUUAUCAAGAAAAAGUUAACUAUGAUGUAAAUAUGAGAUAGACAAAAAAAUUCAACUAUUCAUGAGCUCACUCACCGUGUUGUGUUUUAAAACUUGAAUUAUAUCUUUUGGUGACAAUAAUCUCUUGCACUUCCCGGGCUCUUCUGGUGAUCUCUGCCGCUCAAUUUCUCUACCCAUGUCCUGAAUCAGGUCGUGCAUUUCCACAGUAUCACACCAGCUACGCUUUAUGAGAGAUUUUUCAACCAACACCCCAAUAUGAUGCUUCUUGCAGUUACCAUAAAGAGCACGGAGUAUAUCAUCAACCUCUGUCCAUUUAUACCCUUUGAAGCAACACGCAAUGUCAAGAAAAACAUUCUUUUGUUCUUCCUCCAAAGCAUCAAAGCUUACAUUUAGAAUCUUUAGGAUUUCAUGACUGGGAAUUCUUUUAUAAUAUUCCACAGCAGAUUCCCAUUCUGCUACUGUUUUAUCAAACAAGUUAGAACCUAUGAUUUCCAACGCCAAUGGAAGGCCAGAAGCAUAAGCUACUACACCAUUCAAGACCUCCUCAUAACUUGGAUGAAUUUUCUCUCUUUUAAAAGCUUUCCAUGUAAGCAAUUGAAGUGCAUCAUUCUGAUUCAAAACCUUCACCUCAUAAGUUCUUUCAACCUCAUGAUAUUUUAGCAGAUGUUUGUCCCGAGUGGUAAUGAUGACUCUGCUACCCGGACCAAACCAAUCAGGUCUUUCAACAAUAGCCUUCCUUUAAUUGCUCGUGUUUGUCAACAUCGUCUAAAAUCAAGAGAACCUUCUUUCUCUGGAGCCUAUGUUGUAUCGUUGAAGCUCCUUCUUGCCAACUUGUUAAGGUGAUGUCCUUCUCACCAAGUAAUUUUGAAGGAAGGAUGCUUUGAAGGUGUUUUAACCCAUGUUUAUUUGAUUCUUCUCUCACGUUUUGAAGAAAACAGGAUUCAUCAAAAUGGAGAGCAAUCAAAUUAUAAACUUCCAGAGCAAGUGUUGUUUUUCCUAACCCGCCCAUUCCAUGGAUCCCUAUGAUUUGGACAAGAUCAUCGGAUCCAACAUCCAAAAGCUUCAUUACCUCUGUCACUUGUGAUUCUAGACCAACUGGAUAAUCCGCAAUAUGUAAAGAAGUACGAUUAAUCUUCCUAGAGACCUCCUCAACAAUACUCCCAAUAAACUUGUAUUCAUAUGCAUCUCUGUUUCAAACAAACAAAAAAAGUUCUGAUGAAGUCAGCCUAAAAUCCUUGCAUCCAUGUCUCGAUAUGUACAAUAAUUGUCAAGGUUAACAAGAACAUUUCUUUUCUAUUUGAAUUUUACUAGUUAAAUCAAUAGACAAGUAAAACCUAAUCCAAUAAAAACCAUAAAGUAAAAUAUAUUAGUAUGGUUUUAUACCCAUCUUCGAAAUGAUAGCCAGACAAGUCAGCUACUUGUUUCAAAGCCAUCCUCCAUUUCUGCAGCUUCUCCUUCUUAGCUUUGAACCUCUUCUGAUGCUUAGCCAUUGCUUCUCCAUAACUACCUUUCUGGUGUCUGACAUCAGAAGGAUCUACCUUAUAAAAGACCGGUAUAACCAACAGCCCUUCACUCUUGCAGUGGAGGAUGGUUACAAGUUCAUCUAAACAAAACGAGGAAGAAGCAUAGUUUUGAGAAAGCACAGUAAUAGCAAUCCUGGACUCUUGAAUUGCCUUGGAAAGUGCAGGUGUUAUUUCGUCUCCUCUGGGAAGCUCCUGAUCAUCAAUGGAAGUGUAGAUUCCCCUGUCAUCAAGAGCUUUGUAGAGAUUGCCAGUGAAACCAUGGCGUGUGUCUAAACCUCUGAAGCUGAGGAACACAUCAUAGAUGGAUGCAAGGGAACGUGUUUUUGCAGCCAUUAUUA
rnacentral:lncRNA from 1 species